CAGGUCAGUCCAAGUGCUGUUUCUAUGAUGCGUUAUGAGAUUCUGGGUUUAGUAAAAGGUCUGACGGCUGCACCUAAGAGUGUGGCGUAACCUCAAUGAAGUGGGUGAAAAAUCAUGGAUGAACGGUGCUUAAAUUCCAGCAUAUAGACUAAACACACUAGGUAAUUUUUUCUCUAUGUACCUAAGCUUUGUGGCAAAAUUACUCGGUACUUGUGUUGGUAGGAGAUAGCAGGUACGGAAUCGUCAAGGUGUGCACAAGUUGAAUUAUUCUACUAACCUAAUUAUCAUUAAUAUAAAAGUUUAUGAUCUAACUAAAUUAUCGUUUCUAAUAUACCCAAUGUUUACUUAAUUUUGUAAGCUUUUCUUUUUAAUUAAUUCAUAUGAAUUAUUUCUUAGCGCAACAAUUACUUUGCACAUGGUGUUGGUUCUAAAUGCAUCGACAUUUGUUAUGUUGGUGUAUCUUUUCCGAUUUGCUCACUCCAUAUAACAUGGCACUAUUCUACAGCUUCUUCUAUGCGGGGGUCAACUGGGGUUUCAAAUGUUAAAGGUGUUGGAAAAAUAUUGGAUGAUUAUGGACAAUAAAAGAUUUAGCUUGAGGCGUGUCAAAGACACUGUCCUUAAGGAUAUUUCGCCCACACAUUGAUAAAUAAAAUUAGGCGUAUCCCUCAGGAUUCAACAAGCUCUUCCAGUUAUUAAACUGGGAACAGAACUAGCAAGAAACUCAAGAAAGAAACCUAGCAUAUAGAAGGAAUAAAGAAGAUGAUUCAGAAAGUUGUAUUAGAAAGUGUAUCUUUAGCUCUCCAAAGACCAUGUUUAUAUAGGUGUUGCUCCAACGGCUAGUUAAUGGCUAGAUAACGGCUAGUUUGACUCUAUUAAAUGUAAAAUAAUUUACUAAAUAAUAAGUAGAUGUAAAUAAUAUUUCAAAGAGAAAGAUUUUCCAAACCAUGAUGGACAUAACCUUUUGAGAUACCAUUAAUUUUCUAACAAUCCCCCACAUAUCUCAAAAGGUAAUAAAUAAAGAGAGAGAGAGAGAGAGUAUAAUUUGCUGUGUUUCAGGUAUAAUGAAAUUCAUCUGGUGUCUUAUAAACUAUGAACCAGAUAUAGAUAAAAUAAGAUUUAACUUACAGAGUAAUUGGUGAAGUUAAUAACUUCUAUGAACCAAAAACUCGUGUUGUAAUCUAGGGAUCUUAUUCAUCAUAUUACACCCCCACAAUUUCUGCUGUUAUGCGCGUGCCUGGUUUUCAUGAGUGUUCUAGAAAUUUUUGUCAUAGGAGCGACCCCACUCCACACUCAUAUAGGUCCAUCCAUCAAGUAUAUUAUGCAACACAAUACACUACCUACAAUAGACUAUGGAUUAUUGGAUUAAGAGUUUAAUAACUCAACCUCACAUUCCUUGAAGUCCUGCACUAUAUACAAACACACCAUAGGAAGAGACAUAAUUUAAUAGUGCAUAUUUGAACAACUAAUGACUUGUUAUUAUCAAUAUGAACCUACUUCAUGGGAUCUCCAAUCACAUAGGUUGAGUUACCAUCAUUGUUGAUACAUCUCAAAUUGGCAAAAGUCUCAACCCCUCGAUGUUUCACUUAUAAGUCAAAAGAUCGGCCAAAUCCUCUUUUGACUACACAUAAUAUGUAUAAAAAAUUAUCAUCUCUAAGCAAUUGCUAUAUCACAUUAUGUCUCUAGACAAUGUAUCUACUCGUCCCAUUGAAAGAUUUAUUUUCUUACAAUGGCUAUUGCGUCUUGGCAAUCACAAUUCAUCGACAUAAUUAUUGUCGGUUUAACUUACCAAGAGGUUACUUAAUCAACCUUACCUCUAAGCAAUUUUAAUACCACAACAGCCACCAAAAGGUGAUCACACAACAAUUAGCUAGUUUUUUUUUUCCAUCUGAAUCGAAGAUUCAAUAUCUUCACUGUAUUCUUCUAAUGCAUUGAAAAAUUCACAUAUAGAAUACUAACUCAUAGUAUUUCUUACAUAAGGCACAAAAUCAUCUCAGAUAAAAUGAAACUUUACUUCUAUACAAGUGCUUUUUGAAAUAUUUUUCAACACAUAACAACUUAUUUUCUUCUUAUAUCUUCCAUAGUCAAGUACCAAAGUAAAAUUUUCUAAAAAUGGAAGGAACUUUAAAUUCUACAAAAAUAUCUCAAAUAAGUAGAAAACAGGUCUUAAUUCAACCAUUUCUUUACCAAAUGACUAAUAGACCCAAAACAACAUAACUUUUCAGAGAUAGAAAUAUAACACAUUUUUGAUUUUCCAAUACAAAUUUUUUUUCCACAAAAAAUCUCAAUUUUGUAAGGCUUUAUUAUAACAUUAAUAAACAAUUUUUAUCACUUUUUUCUUUCUUAGGAUCAUGCUACAUAACUCUGGACAUCACGACCCCCCACAUUUUCGAAAAUUUCAGAUUAAGGAGAUAAUCUUUUCAGAACUCAUAAAGAGUUUUAUUUUAUAAAUAACAAGCAGAUAAUAUAGCUUCACCUCGAAAAUUAUCAUAUGGAUCAAUACACAUAUAAUUUAUUAAUUAAUUAAAAAGUCCCAAUAUCUUAAGUAAUAAAAGUAAGAUAAAUAUUUAAAUCUAGUACAUCAUCACAAGAAGAAUCAAACCAUUUAAUCUUAUGUGCUUUUCCAAUUCUCCUUCACCUAAAUCUCCAAUUACAUAAAUAUAAUUAACCCGUUCAAGAGAGAGAAAAUUUAUCUAGGAUUUUUUUUUUCGAAGCACGUUGUCUUGAUAAAGGUUUGAAUAAAAAUUGUUCAUGUGAUUUCAAAGAAAACGAAAGUACUUCAAUUAAAAAUUUGUCAAACUUGGCAUAGUAAGUUUCGUCAAUUUUUUCUACGGAAGAGAUUCGUUCAUUAACCCACUUUUUUCUAUUAGAUGAUUACCACUUUUCAAUGUAAUUCUUAAUUAACAAUAAGAAUCAAAAGUUUUUGAGAGCUUUUAGAGAAAAAAGAAUUUCUUAAGUAAAUAUAAUUUUGUACCCUGAUUGAAUUAUAUAACUAUACAAAAUCUACACUUACGUAAGCUUGGGCACAUUAAAUUCUAGAAAAAAGCAUACCUUAAUUUUGUUGUGCAUUAUGUCCUCCACGAUGCAACAAUGUAUAAAAUUGAAGCAGCAACUUGCGAAAAGCGUAUUCCAAAGUAGAACCAGGAAAAACGACAUACAAUACUCAUACAAUAAUAUUAUUUAUUCACAUCGUCUAGUACUGUCGGGAUUCUAGAAUUAAUGGAGAAUGCUUAUGUUUCUUUCGCGUUGGCCAGUUUGAUUAGCAUGUAACGGCCAUUAGAAUCGAUAUUCUCCAUAAAUACAAUGCCAUAAUAUCCUUAAGGUUGUUGGAAAAAUAUUGGAUGAUUAUGGAGAAAUUUUUUUUAGCUUGAGGCGUGUCAAAGACACUGAACUUAAGGAUAUUUCGCUCACACAGUGAUAAAUAAAAUUAGACGUAUCCUUCAGGAUUCAACAAGCUCUUCCAAUUAUUAAACUAGGAACAAAACUAGUAGAAAAUUCAAGAAAGAAACCCAGCAUAUAGAAGGAAUAAAGAAGAUCAUUCAGAAAGUUGUAUUAGAAAGUGUAUUUUUAGCUGUCCAAAGACCAUGUUUAUUUAGGUGUUGCUCCAACGGCUAGUUAAUGGCUAGAUAACGGCUAGUUUGACUCUAUUAAAUGUAAAAUAAUUUACUAAAUAAUAAGUAGAUGUAAAUAAUAUUUCAAAGAUAAAGAUUUUCCAAACCAUAAUGGACAUUAUAACCUUUUGAGAUACCACUAAUUUUCUAACAAAACGGAAUUGCGGCAAAUUGUGUGAUGGUGCCUCCAGUAUCCUUGGAGACAUAUUCAAAAGGCUAUAUAGAUUUAAUUCAUGUUUUUAGAUAAUGGAAAGGAAUUCUUAUUCACGAUGGGCUAAAGUCCGUAAUAGAGGUGCCAGAGUCAUGGCAGUUGACGAGUUCGGAUUAGACUUUUUUUGAGAAUGUCUCCUGGGAUAGUGGCGGGCCGUCGGCAGUGGAAGUUAGAACAAAUCAUGAACGUUCCACGAAAACUAGAACUUACAUAGGUUGACUUGGCUGAACUCAUUCUUUCUGUAACUAUCAUGGGCCAACAUGACCAGAACUCGUAAUGUAUAAUUAUAAAUGGGCAAAUACUGUACAACGAACAAUCGUACUCAAAAUAUGAAUAUACAUAGGACGUCAAUGCCUCUGACAUACUGUACAUAAUGAACUUGUGUAUACAAAGCCUCAAAGAGUAUUUGACAUCGAAAGAUGGCCGGGACACGGCCCAGCCUAUCCAUACGUCUGUAGCAAAACUCUGACACGAUAACUUAUAGACUCGGCUGCACUCCAAAUGAAGUGGAGCCUUACCGAUCCUUCGCUGAUGCUAACCUCGUCUAUUUUGAGGGUUCAUCAAAUUGAUUACCUACACCCGCAGGCAUGAAAGUAAACGUUAGUACGAAUAGUGUACCGAAUAUGUAAGGGGAACUGAAACAUAAUAAUAAACCAACAUCAAUGAGAGAGAUAUAAGAAUCAACGUGAACCUCUAAAGUGCCACAACGAGCCAUGAUAUUCAUACUAAUAUUUAAUGCCUCUCUUUGGGACUAUUACCCACAUCAUAACAUGACUUUCUAACUAAUCUAUGGUAACAGCCUGGCCGUCGUAGCUCCAUGGUGCAUAGCUACCCAACCGGCCGUAGCUCGGUAGUAAAUGCAUGACUACUCGAUCGAUAGUAACUCGGUGGUAAAUGCGUAACUGCUCAAUCGGUUGUAUCUCAGCUGUAAAUGCAUGAAGAGGCUUUUACGAUCAUUAGGACAUCUUUUAUCGUAUGCCUCAAUAGGGACUUAGGAACAUACUUGGACAUGCUUUGAAUUAUAUUUCACAGGAAUGAAUAACGUAGACAUUCUUAACUACUAAGGGUAGAACCAUUUAUGAAAUAACUUUACAUUUACGUUUUGUUACCUGGAUCAUGCCAAAAGAAGGAAGGAUUAGCCUUAACAUGCCUUUGUAGGUAACGACUCAAUAUACAUUGCCCGUAGUACUUCAACCUACAUCAAGGUAUUAGAACUAUAGUUAAUACCAUAGUAGAACUUAAAACACAUUUCUAAGCUAGUAGCUCUUUUACGGAGAAUUGGGAAACACUCCCCCUAUAUUUCCUCAUUUUCUCGAAUUCAAAACCGAAACAAACAACAACAUCAACAACUAAUCCUAUCUAUUCUGCCCCUCAACAACGUAAGAACAAUUCUAACUUCAAACAAUAGUACAACGAGUGGCAAGCUCGAUUUGUGACUAAACCAUUAUAGUUUAAUACCUCUUCUCCCUUCCAGAAUUUAUCAACCACAUUAACCGCCACAUAUUCAAUCAUUCCUACAAAUUUUUAGUCACAAUACAACUUUAAAAUGACCCUAUAAUAGUCCCACAAGUUCAACAACUUAAAAUUAAUUUUUCAGAUUACUAAAAUACGUUUCCGACUUGUCCUUUCAUUCAAAUCAAGAAACGCAACCAAUAGUACAUAAUUAAACCUCUUCUCAUAUAAACCAGACAUGAACUCAACUUAAAAAUAAGUUCACAACCAUCCAAUAGUGAUGCAACAACAAACAUCAUAUUACUCUUUCGAAACUCGAAAGUUCUAGUCUUUCCGAUCGAGUUACAACUCGUAGAAGCUUAAGUAAGGGAAAGAGAAGUAUAAACUUACCUUGGACUGAGUAGAUCCCAUGAAACUUAGUCUCUCGUCAUCCAAAAUCAGUCCCCCAAUGCAGCUACAAGAAGGAGAAAGGGAAACUAGCAAGCUGUCUGGGUUUUUUCGGUACUAGAAUCACUUCGUAUCACCCGAAUCACCUAGGGUUUAUGUGGGAUUUUUGGGGGAGGUGUAGCAGGGUUUUUUACCCUAGGUUUUCCUCAGGAUAUUAUGUCUAAAAUAUGAGAGAAUAAUCCCGUAUAAAGGGCCCCUUGGCUGCCCUCAAUCCACCCCUUUUUGGAGAUUUAUUUUGUCCCUUCAUUUAAGCAAGUAGGUGAUGCACCUACUUAUCACAUACCAGUCUGCAUAGUCUCGCUAAAAUGUAAAUAUCUCUCUACUCCGAUGUCGUAUUGAAAAACGCUUUAAUGUACUGGAAACUAGACUCAUAGGCCUUCAAUUUUGUGGGUGGGUGUCCCUGUAACUCCAAGUAUAUUAGGAGAAAAACUUAUUGAUAUUAGACCUAAAAUUUAGUAUAAUUUAUGAAUGUAACUUGUGACGACUUUCGUCAACUUUUGUUUCAUAACUCUCUUAACUUCAAAACUUAACACACGACUAUCAUAUGACUAAAAUACCUCAUAACAUCACCUUCUUAUCAUGUUAAUCACCCUAGUCGCAUCUCAAAGUAUGGAUUAUAACAUUUCCAACUUUUGAUGAAACUUAUUUUCUAUGAUUCGUUUAGCUUCUAAACCUUCCAACCCUCUGGUACUUGCUGAUCAUGAUCUUAAAUAUUUGAAGCCUCCAAGGUAACAUUAUUAACUUACUUUAUAUACUUUCAAAUAGGAUCUUAUUUUCGAGCUUACAUCAAUUGACUUACGAUAUACUUUACGUACAAAAACAUGGGGUGUAACAUUAUUCCCCGUUUGGAACAUUCGUCCUCAAAUGUUGGCUGAUGCUCUUAUCAGUCUCAUAACCUACAUCUCUUAUGAAUACUUUAAUACUGUCCUUGCCAUCUAGGCAGCUGUUCUGUGAAUUAAUCCAAAGGGGGGCAUUCCCCCCUUUAGGCCUCUUUCUCACACCACAACCUGUGGUCGUAAUUCUUCCAAUCUCGUAACUAUUGCUACCUUCUGUCAUACAUCAUGUAUGACCAUAUCCUUGUACGCACGCCUACGUGAUACUUAUCUCCCUUUUCUCUAUCUUUUAGCCAAUUUCUAGGCCUCACUUUGCAAAUAUAUACAAAAUGAUGAAAAAUUGUUCCUUUGGGCAUCAGUUGGCGUACUGAAAUUCUUUGUUUGGUGCUUCGUUGAACUUACGACUAUUUCUAUAUUCUGUUUCAUAGCCUCAGAACUUUUAUCCAUCGAUGUGUUGAUUCACCUUAAUGUUGAUCUAUAAUCCACUAGUGAUAACUUGAAACUUCUUAAUACAUUUUCACUAGGGGUCACAUCUUGUCGGCUAACAUCUGAAGUUAUUUGCUUGAUCCACCUUACGGACGAUACUAUACUUUAAUAAUCGUAUUUCAUAGUAUCUCAACAUGAUUCAUCUUAUGGUAAGUAUUCUAAUCCCGUUCAAUUCAUAAAAUCCGUUCUCAUUGAAUCAUUACUUCAAUCGAAGGCUAUAUUCCCAAACAUUAUCCUCUUAUCGCUUAUCACACUCACACUCUUAUUCUACUACGAGGGUAGCAUUUCAUCUCUUCUAAAUGCUCCUAGUCUUAAACUCCUUCGAGUUCAUUCAAGCUAUACUGAGCUUUCUAUAACCUACAGAAACCAUCAACUCUCUCAUUUUGAUGGCCAAAUCCCGAUGUCUUACCUAUUCUCGUCACCUUCUCACUUACUUUUUCUUAUCCUUACUCAUGUCUACCUAAAACCUUGUCGCUCUAUUAUACUCUAGCUUGCAACCUACACGUAUCUAUACAUACUACUCGCAACCUCAUUUAACUUGCUAGCACCAUAUAUUUCUUUAUGUUAUUUUGGAACCUCAAGCGAGACAUCACGUUUCCUCUAAUUCUUCUUUGUUCUCGUUACUAGACCUCUUGGUACAUGGAAAGCAUAGGCUGGAAAAUGUGCUACUGACGACACCACUAUCAUUUCUGAAUACUGAAUCAUGAUGCUUCUAGCCUUAUAUCUAAAGUAUGGACUAUUUACAAUCUUCUGUACUUGAGUAUCUCGUACCGUCUUCACUUUUACCUUACUUACCUUUAAAUCUCGCAUCAUAUCUUAUGUUGCUUUCAUAACUUCCCUUCCACAUAGUUGGAAUUUACAUCCAUGCAUUAAAGCUCUACUGUAAUACUUGCACCUGUGGUGCAUACAUAAUCCACUAGAAGCUUCAUACUAACUUCUUAUGACUUAGCUCUAUGGCACGAUAAGAAAGUGAAAGAAGGGUAACAUUUCCUAAAUGCCCUGUAGCCUCUCAAUUAUAAGUGUGGCGCGCAACAUACCCAUAAGUGAGAAUCUACUAGACACGGCUUUGUAGACUCCCUAAGAUACGACCUGCUCUGAUACCACUUUGUCACGUCCCAACCUGAGGAGGCAUGGCUGGCACUCGGUGUCGUACAGGCUCGAGGGAACCAUUUUGUAACUCAUGAUCGUUCGACAAAAACUAGAACAUACAUAAGCCGACUUGGCUGAACUCAUUCUUUCUGUAACUAUCAUGGGACAACAUGGCAACAACUCAUAAUGUAUAAUUGUAAGUGGGCAAAUGCUGUACAACGAACCAUCAUACUCAAAACAUUAAUACACACGAGACGUCAAGGCCUCUGACAUAUAGUACAUAAUGAACUUGUGUCUACAAAGUCUCAAAGAAUAGUUGACAUCGAAAGAUGGUCGGGACAGGGCUCCAGCCUACCCAUAAGUCUGUAGCAAAACUCUAACACGAUGACUUAUAGACUCGGCUGCACUCCGAAUGAAGUGAAGUCUUAAUGAACCUUCGUUGAAUGCUAACCUCAUAUAUUAUGAGUGCUCAUCAAACUGAUUACCUACACAUGCAAGCAUGAAAUAGCGUCCACAAUAUAAAGAACGUUAGUACGAAUAGUGUAACGAGUAUGUAAGGUAGAUCUGAAACAUAACAAUAAGCCAACAUCAAAUAGAGAGAUAUAAAAAUCAACUUGAACCUCUAAAGUGCCACUACGGGCCAUGAUAUGCAUAUUAGUUAUACUUGUAUAUUUAAUGCCAUUUUUGGGACUAUUUUCCAUAUCAUAACAUGACUACACAACUGAUCAACGGUAACUGCCCGUCCGGCCGUAGCACGGCAGAAAAUGCAUGACUGACCGAUCGGCCAUAUCUCGGUGGUUAAUGCAUAACUGCCCAACCGGCCGUAGCUUAGUGAUAAAUGCAUGACUGCUUGACCGACCGUAGCUCGGUGGUAAAUGUGUAACUGCCCAAUUGGUCAUAGCUCGAUGGUAAAUGCAUGAAGAGCCUUUUACGAUCAUUAGGACACCGUUAUUGUAUACCUAAAUAAGGACUUAGGAAUAUACUUGGACAUGAUUUGAAUUGUAUUUCACAGGAUUGAAUAACGUAGACAUCCUUAACUACUAAGAGUAGAACUAUUUAUGAAAUAACUUACAUUUAAGUUUUGUUACCUGGAUCAUGCAAAAAGAAGGAACGAUUAGUCUUAACAUACCUUUGUUGGUAACAACUCAAUAUACACUGUCCGUAGUACUUCAACCUACAUCAAGGUAUUAGAACUAUAGUUAAUACCAUGAAAGAACUUAAAACAGAUUUCUAAGCUAGUAGCUCUUUUACGGAGAAUUGGGAAGCACUUCCCUUAUAUUUCCUCACUUCCUCUAAUUCAAAACAGCAACAAACAACAACAUCAACAAUAUCAAAAAUUAAUUCUAUCCAUUUAGCUCCUCAACAACGUAAGAACAAUUCACAAUUCAAACAAUAGUACCACAAGCGUCAAGCUCGGUUUGUAACUAAACCACUAUAGUUUAAAACCUCUUCUCCCUUUCAGAAUUUAUCAACAACAUUAACCGCCACAUAUUUAAUCAUCCCUGCUAAUUUUUAGCCACAAUACAACUUUAAAAUGACCCCAUAAUAGUCCCACAAUUUCAGCAACUCAAAUUAAUUUUUCGGACUACUAAAAUACGUUUCUGACUUGUCUUUUCUUUCAAAUCGAGCAACACAACCAACAAUGCAUAAUUAAGCCUCUUAUCACAUACACCAGCCAUGAACUCGAUUUAAAAAUAAGUUUACAACCAGCCAACAGUGACGCAACAACAAACAGUAUACUACUCUUUCGAAACUCGCAAGUUCUAGUCUUUACAAUCGAGUUACAACUCGCAGAAGCUUAGAUAAGGUAUAACAAGCCAACCGGCCAUUUUUAGCUCUAGUACGCCAUUCAGAGAUUUAAGACCUUGAGUAGAUUCAAUUUAUGUAUUAUGACUUAUGUGCAUACUCGAUUUUUAUUUUUUAGAAGUUCGGAGUAGAUUUGGAAGAACAAUUUUUAAUUCGGAAGCCUUAAGUUAGAAGAGUUGACUGAGGUUUUACUUUUGAGUAAACAACCUUAAAAUUGGGAUUUGAAAGUUCCUAUAGGUUUGUAAGGUGAUUACGUACUUGGGUGUAUGUUUGGAUUGAGUUUCGGGUGGACCGGGAGAGUUUCGACGCUUAUUGUGGAAAGUUGACAUUUUGAAGAUUUAGAAUUUUCUAAGUUUGAUUUGAAAAGGAAAUUGGUGUUAUCGAUGUCCGUUUGGGAUUUUGAGUCGUGGAAUAGGUUUGUAUUGUAAUUUGUAACUUGUAUGUAAAAUUUAGCGUCAUCCAGGAAUGUUUAAGAGUGAUUUGGAAAUUUAAGUUGCAUACUAGUUAAGUAUAAGAAAAUAAGUUGACCACGGUCAAAUAGUGGACUUAACGAGAUCAGAUUCAUGAUUUAAAGUUUUAACAGGUUUAUAUGAUGAUUUUGGACUUGUCCGCAAGUUUUGGUUAGAUUCCGAUGAGUUUCGGAUGGGUUUGGAUUGUGCCGCGCUCUUAUUUGAUUAUUCGAUGCCGUUUCUUUUGUCAUAAAGGGUACCAUAUUGAGAAAAUGACCUUUUAUCUGUUAUUUGAUUGAACCAUUAUAUCUGUAUCAUAAUCACAAAAUUAUAGCAAGAAGAAUCGUCGAAUUUCAAGGUCAUACGAGAGAUUUAUGCUCAUUUCCGUGUCAGAAAAGAUUGCUGGUUUCUGGUGCGAGCUUUUGUUCUUCGCAAGCGCGAGAGCAGUGCAACGAACACAUAGAAGGAAUUCUGGGUGGACCGUUCAACGCGAAAAAUUACUUUUUGCGAACGCGAAGGUCUCCCGUUAAGGCAUUGAACAAAAAUCACCUAGGUAGUUUUUUAAAUUAGCAAAUCGAGCAUUUUAGUAUUUCGAGCAUAUCUUGAGUUCUAGAGCUCUGUUUGAGGUAUUUUUCGUGGCGUAGUUCUCAUUUCAACAAGGGGUAACUAUAUAAGCUUUAUUUCAAUGUUUGUGCAUGAUUAUUUCCGUUGAUUAUCUUUUUUAUCCUUGUUUGGAUUGUAGAAAUUGGGGUUUUGAGCUCCAAAGUUGAGAAAUGGUAAAUUCUUGAUUUGAGGGUCAAUUUAUGGAUCAAAUUGGAUAAUUUUCUGAAUAUAGACUAUAUAAUUUAUGGGUAAUAUGUAUUUUCGAUAAUUUCAGAAUUAAGGUGCGAGCCUGGGGUUGACUUUUUUUUUAAAACUUUUUGUGUGGCAUUGAGAAUUGUUUCUAAAUGAAAUAUUAUGUAUUCUUGAGUAUGAUUUGAUUGGUUUGCACGUUCUUUGAAUAGUUUCAGAUAGUUUGGCUUUGGGUUUGAGGUGUUAGAGAGGCGUUGGAGAUAGUUAUUGGAUUUCGGAACGAGGUAAGUCUCUUGUCUAACCUUGUAAGGGAAAAAUUACCCCAUAGGUGUUAUAAUUGUUAUGUGCUACAUGUUGUGAGAGCUACGCACGUAUGAAGUGACGAGUGUCCAUGCACAUGCUAGAAAUCCUGAUUAGGUCCUGUAGACUUAGACUCACUCCAUGCUUUAAUUGUAAUAUUUGAGUUAUUCUUGCCUAUUUAAAUGCUUUAAUUACAUUGUUGCUUGAGACUAGACUUGCGUAGAGUAUCAGACUUGUUAUUUUAGAUACUUGGCAAAUUACUUGAUUAAUAGAGGAAAUUAUACUUUCCUUCUACGAAUUUCUCUCGCAUUGUACGAAAUUGUCUGAAGAGUCUCUUAAACUGCAUAACUUACACAUAUAUUCGUGAGUGGUGCUAGUGAUCCAUCAAGUUUCACUAUUCCUAUAGGAUCGGGCUGAAUGCCUCAGUAGUACUAUUAUAGAUCGGGCCGUACGACCUCGACAGUAUUAUGAGAUGCAUCUAUGGUUCGUUCUGGUCGACCCUCAGCAGUGUACACGAUUAUAGGAUCGGACUGAAUGACCUCAAGGGUACUAUUAUGGGAUCGGACCGUGCGCCACGAUAGGAAAUCAUGCAUUUCCUCGGUAGAAUCGUGAGUGAUAUUUGAUAAGAAGUCAGUGUACCCAUGGGUUUUCCUAACUUGAGAUGUGACAUUUUAUCUGGUAUUGACCAUUACGUAUUUUAUUCGAGGUAUUGUCCAGCUAUUGAGGACCUCGUGUUUUUUCUUCUGUUGAGUAUCAUAUUAUGCACUUAUAUAUUCCUCGUUUUUACCUGCUAUCCCUCAUAUCUGUUUACUUUCAUUAUACCUAAUUUAUUGGAUUACUAGUAAGUGUCGAUGUCGACCCCUCAUCACUACUUCUUUGGGAUUGGGCUAGAUACUUAUUAGGUAUGUGUUGAUUUACGUACUCAUGCUGCACUUCUGCACUAAUUGUGCAGGCACUAAGGCAGGUUCAUUUGGUGGUCAUCUUAGUGCAUAUGCGCAGCUGCCGAGGGGACUUUAUGGUGAGCUGCUUUCUAUGUUAGUGCAUAUGCGUAGCACACAGAGUCUCCAUCAUACUCAUUUAAUUUAUCUUGUCUAUUAUAUAUUCCCGAUAGACGUUAUAUUAGUAUUGUACUUCCUAAUGGAUGCUCAUGCACUUGUGACACCAGAUUUGGGAAUUUAGUUUAUGUUCUUGGUUUAUAUUUUGACCACAUUCGAAUAGUUAAAUUAAUAACAUCAGCACUUAUGAAAAUGAACUACUUCAGUUAUUUAUUUCGAGAUGCAUGUAGAUUAUCUAUUAGUACUUAUUUCAUGGCUGACUUGCCUAAUGAUAGAGUUAGGCACCAUCACAACCUAUAGUGGGAUUUGGGUCGUGAUAGUUUGAUAUCAGAGCGCUAGGUUUACUUGGGUCUCAUGAGUCAUGAGCAAGUCUAGUAAAGUUUUGCAGAUCGGUACAGAUACGUCUGUACUUAUCUUCGAGAGGCUACAUGACUGUUAGGAGAACUUCCCUUUCUUGAUUCCUUAUCGUGAGAUUUGAUUUAGUUGAGUCCUAUGCCUUCAAUUCCUUCUACUCAUUCGUACGCGAUGUCAAGCAUUCGGUAUCAAUUAGGCACCGACGAGUCGUAAAGCAACUACAAAUGUGGUGCAGGAUGUUUUUCCUUGCGUAUGUGGGUAGACUAUUAUCGUCGCCUUAUAGAGGGGUGUUCUAUCGUUUCAGCCCAGUGUUAGUGUUUCCUAUGGUUCCGAGGCUAUAUACUAUGUAUUGUACUGUUCAUGCAUUGUUAUCGCGUAGUGCUGGUGUAAAUAGUAGGGUUUUUACUUAUGUGUCGCGGCAGUGAAUGACUCGAGAGGAGGAUUAUUCGAUUCAUGGUUUAGAGAUUCAACAUUUAAUUCCAGCGAAGGAGAGGCAAUUGGACUAUGGAUAUUCAGGCUUUGGUUGACGGAGUAGCGAGAUUGGAUAUUUUGAAAAUGGUAGAAUUCUUGUUUGUGAUAUGGUGUCAUCGUCCUUGUUUGAACACAUUAAGGCUCAUCGGUAUGAUAGUCUUCAUUGGUUUGCCUUCGGGGUAAGGUGCUGUGAAAUGGUACCUAAGAAGCGGUUAUCAUAGAUGGCGGUGUGUGGCGGCUUCAGGGUCAAAUCGGUGUUUCUAGUGUUGAUGGAUUGAGGAAGAUAAUCUUAAGGAGGCUUAAAGUUGAUGGCAAUCUAUUUGUUCAGGUGCUAUGGAGAUGGAUCAUGAUUUGGAGCAGCAUGACUGGCAGUGAAUUAUGAGAAGAGACAUGGUAGGAUAUGUCUCGAAGUGGAUGGAUUGCUGGCAUGUCAAGUACGAGCAACAAAGAUCGAGUAGUUUUCUUAGGAAGAUGGUUUAACCGGAGUAGUAGUGGUAGUGUAUCGUAUUAAAUUUUGUGGUAGGAUAGCCACAUGCUCUGAGAAAGCCUAGGGCGAUUUGAGACAUGGUGGACAAAUGACCAAGUACGUGUAUUUCGUUUGAGGUGGUGGUUUCUGUACUUAGGAUGCUUGAACGUGACGAAAAGAGUUGCUAAGGAUGCAGAGGAAUGUGACUUAAUCAUUUGGGAUGCAAUAUAGCUUCGAGUUGUAAAUGUAUUGUUGGAACUUCAAUUAAUGUUAAUUUGAUGAACGAAUUCUUACAAAUGAUGGAUGAGUGUGGACUUAGGAGAAUUAACUGAUUUCAUAACGGAAUGGCUAUGGCUAUGCCAUUGGAGGAUGUCGGUAUGGGGUUACACAUGUGAGCUAUCUCCUGUGAGAAGGUUAGGGGUUGCAUGACUUCUGAUGACAUUCCUAUAAAGAGUUCUACCUUCUAUCCAAUAGGAUGCAUAUACUACGAUAUGAGCUUGGAUUGCUUGAAGAAGAUGGUAUGAUUGUCAGGAGGUCGAGUGUGCCAAUGUGGUUGAUGAUUCGGGAUGUGUAAUGAUUAGUGCAACAAGAACUUAUGAGAAAUCUGGAUGCGUAACAGUGUGAGAUCAUGCUAGCUAGGAGGAGAAGUCAUUGUAGGUCCUUGGAUUUUGCGAUGGUGGCUUAAAGCCAAAUGGGGGAGCCUACCGUUGAUGAUUGGGUCAAGUGGUUAUGUUCCCUUACAGUUUCUGGUUAGCGGUACAUUGACAGAUUAGUUAUGACCGAGGAAGAGAACAUCACGGGUAAUUCGAGCAAGGAAUUUGAUGGAUGUGUGCUAUAGUUCACCUUAUUGAUGUGUGACGGUUAUGGAAUAAUCAAAUUGGGUAUUUCUUUAUGGAGGUGUUGUGCAUGGAAAAGGAUUCAUUCGGUUGCUCCUUUGGAGUAUUUGAGUGCUAACGGAGCACUAGUUGUUUAGUUAUAUAAUCGUGACUGGUUUACAGUGAGCGACUCUCAACAAUGGUUCUAGUAAGUUCAAGAAUUAAAGUGUAGUGCCUAAGGAUUUUUGAAUUCGUUGUGUGGCUAAGGAUUUUGUUUUGCAGCGGAGUGUGCAUGAGACUUGGAGAAUUUCUAUGAAUUCCACCAGGUAUGUGGUGCGGUGUUAGAGAGAUGGAAGAAACAACUUCAGAUUCGCAAAAGAUCUUUCAGAACAGGGGUAUCAGUUGGAGAUACUAUUGAGUGGUCGAGGUGAGUAUAAAGUUACAUAUGGGUAAUGCGGCAAUGUGGUCUUGUAGUUAGGGUCACUUGGGAUGAGUGUCGAUUGAGGUCUAUCGUUUUCUGGAAAAGAGAGGUACUCAUUCUGAAGGUAAGUCAAGAGAGAACUGAGGAGCUGAACUAGUUUAGAAAUAGUUUUGAUCGACAUAGUAAAGGAAAUGGUCGAUUAAUUCAGUAUGAUAAGGCUAUACGGGUGUUUCGUGGCUAUACUAGCAGGCUUGGUAGUCUCCGUAAUUUGGUUGAUUUGGAGGAAUUUAAUCCUGAUGGUUUGGGUGUGUGCAAACGGGUCUCGAAAAGGCUAUGAUGAUUUUGACCAUGAUUUGAGAUUGGUGUGUUCUAUGGUUAUGGGAAGUUGGUUGCAUGCUAUGAUUCCUUCUCCUAAAAUGAGUUAGGCGAAAGGUUCAAGACGAUGGAGUGUUUAUUCCCCCGAUGGUUCUGUAUUUAUGAUGGGAUUUUGCACUCUCGCAUGUUAGCAUGAUAGGUGCAGUGAGUGGUGUGGAAUUUGAAUUGAAGGAUCAAGGUUGCUAUUUAGUUUUGACUGGGAUGUCACGAGCUCAAAGGAGCGAGGGAAGAUUUUAGAUGUUCAAAGUAUGCUGGCACUAUUUUCGGGCCACUGAGGAUGGUCAGUUUUGUGGAAGAAGUAUUGGGUAUUGAUUUGUGGAUGCUUGACUAGCACUAUAGAAAUAGCAUGGUCGGUGGCCAUUAAUGUUCAUAUUUUUCUACCUGGUGCGGAAGGUUGUGGGAUUAUCUCCCAUGAGAUGAUCGUAUAAGUGUGACAUGUCAUUCAUUUAAGUGGUAGAGAAUGAAAUCAGGUAUGAAGAUUCCAGUACAGAGCUAGUUGGAGAGUUUAUGUUGCGAGAUGCUCUAUUCCUUUGGUUGCGGACUGUAGAAGUUUGUUCUUGAUUUGAUGAUCGAUCGUAUGUAUCAUGGAUAUGGUGAUUGUGGAUCUUUGAAAGGUUAUUAACCUAUUUUGGGUGAUCGGAAUCGGCUUUGAUGUCCGUUGGUAGACCGAAUGUGAAUGUAUAUUCUACACUAGAUCAGAUAUGCUUAUUCAGUAUAGCAUUGUUUAUGGAUGAGUCUUCGGGUGUUGGAUGUUAUUCUUAUCAUCUAUUCCAUGUAUUACUCUAUUAUGCCAUAUGAGUGGUGAGACGACUUGAUUAUACAUUGUAAUCCUGUGUAGUUUGUGGCAUUAUAUGAGCGAGAUGGCUCUCGAGAUACUUGUUUGUCUAUUGCACCUUAGUCAUAUUUGGGCUGUUGUGGUGCAUGAUGCUAUCCGUCUCCCUAGGGUUAUGUUUAUGCACUUGGCGUGCUUAUGGUCGAUAUGCAUGCGUCUAAUGGGUAUGAGCAUUUUGGCUCGAUGAGUAUUCCCUUAGUGAUGGUUAUUUUUGCACUUGUAUUGACAGCUCUAACCAUAUGCUUUAUUUUCUUAUCUCUGUUUAGACUUAAUUAUUGUUUUACAAUGUUCAAAUUGUGGUUUAUGUUUGUUGGUUCACCUAGUGGAUCAAUUUAAGUGCCAUCACGACCUUGGUAGAAUUUUAGGUUGUGACAAAAUGGUAUCAGAGCCUAGGUUUCACGUGUCUUGUGAGUCAUGAGCAAUGUCUAGUUGAGUCUUGCUCAUCGACAUGGAGACGUUUAUACCUGUCUUCGAGAGGCUACAUGAAAAUUAGGAAACUUGUCUUUCUUUCUCUCUUCAUUGUGUAUCUUUUGUUCGUCUUGAAGUCCAAAUCUUUCUCUUUCGUUAUGUCAUGGCCCAAAAUCCCACCAAUAUCGUGAUGACACCUAACCUAACUCACUAGGUAAGCCAAACUGUAUAAGUUACUACUAUAAUGAGAAAUCAUCAAUAUAAAAAAUAAGACUACAAAAGAAUUUAAUACAACUACCCAAAGGACUGGUAGCACAAGUCAUGAGCCACUAUGUUUUAGAUUUACAAAGCUGGUGAAAUGAAUAAAUACAACAUAUGUUUGCAAGUUACAUUAACAAAAAUAAAAUCCUAAGCUAUCAUGAGCAAAAUGGUAGCCUGAAUUCGGUACGUUGUCUAAUGCAAAGUUCCGUCUUCACAGCUACUCAGCUCCAAAAUUAGUAGGCAAGGUGCAGAAGUGUAGUAUGAGUACAACCGACCCCCUGUACUUGAUAAGUAUCUUGACUAACCUAAGAGCAGUACUGACGGGGUUAUUAAGUGGAAAGAUACUCACUAAUCAAAUAACCACUGCAAUAUAUCAAAGACUGGCAAUAGGAAGAAUAGCAGAAAAGCAAUAACUAUAAUCUCAUCAGAACAAGUGAUCACAAUUCAAUGCAAGUAAAGGCGCACCUUCAACAACAAGUCAUCAAACAGAAUCACACACAUAUGGAACUUCGUGACCACAUUAUCAAUCACCCUCGCAUGGCAAAGACCUCAUACCAUAUUAUAAAUCGAUUCUAUGUCAAUUUCCAAACAACACGUUCAAGGUAAGUUUUCAAGAAUCAAAUAUUUUAAUCCAUGAUGGCAACUUCCUCAUCUCGUCAAUCCGAUAUACUACCAACAACUCAACAAAAUAUGAGAUAUCAAAUCCACAUAGGUAAAUCCAUCUUGGUCACCAAAUCAUCAAGUAAUAACAGAGGCAUAACUUAGCAUGUUAAAUACAACACAACAAAACAUGUAAAAAGAUAUGACACGCAAAAGGAAACCACACACAUAUUCAAUGACCACAUAAACAUAUAUAAUAAAAAUUGCCCCCAGGCCAUCACAUAACAUCCCUACAAUGCCACAUGUGCAUCACAAUGAAAUGCCUCCCGUAUGUCGUUGCAUGCUCAUAAGACACCCUAAUCUCGCCGCAUGCGCAUCACAAUGAAAUACCUCCCUUAUGUCGUUGCAUGCGUAUCUCGCCACCCUUAUUAUCCACACAACAUCAAUCAACUCACACAAUAUGUCCACAUAUGCCAUAAGUAUCAUAAUAAUGCAAGAUAACAAUUUAUCAUCAAGAGGCAUAUCUUGAUAACCCAUCAAUAAAGCACACACGUACUUGAUAACAAUAAAAAUAUGGAUAACGCAUGACAAUUUCUAAAUCAACUAUAGAAAUCACAUUCAAGUAGUCGUACAAAGGAUCCCAUAUGUAUCACAGAGAGUCCACGUCCCAAUCAAGGAACAUAACAGAAAUAAGUUCGAAUGUGUGUUCAUAAUCUACGUGCAUCUAUCUCCAAGGAAAAUAUAACAUAAGUCUCCAGAUUUGCUCAUCAUGUUCAACAUAAGGUACCAAUGGCCUCAGCAUUCCUCUAGCAUGGUUUAUUGUACACUCGUAGUCCAUUAAUUAAAUAAUAUAUGGAAUCAGGUAAAACACACAACCAAAUAAGAUAUAGAUAAGCUAGAAUCUACCCCGAACAUUAAUACCCAUGACACAUGUGUAUACACUCGUCACCUCAUAUAUACAUCACCCCCGCAUGUAGAAAACAAUAUCAAUUAGAAGGAAAAAUUACCUCAACCAAAGCUAGGCAAGACACUUACCUCAAACAAGCAAAAAUAAUACUCAAAAAAUGCCAUCCCGCGCAAAUCAACCUCUGAAUAACUUGAAUAUAGCCAAAAACAAUUCACAACAUCAAAUAAUGCUAUUCGAAUCAAACCCAAACGAUAAAGGUCGAAUUUUUAAUCAAAUACUCAAAGUCAACCAAAUAGUAAACACAGAUCCGCACACCAAAAUCUGGCAAAACUGACAAAUCUUAAACACAUAUUCGAAUACGAGUCCAAAUAUACAAGUUUUAUCUAAAACCGACUCAAAAUCGGGAUUCAAAUCUCCAUUUUAGUUUUGCCAAAACCCCCCUAUUUUUCUUCACUUAAAUUCAUCAAUCAAAGCUAAAAUCAAGGAUAGAAUCAUGAAUAAUACUCAAAUCCGAGUCGAGAAUACUUACCCCAAUCCAAGUGGUAAAAAUCCCCUCAAAAAUCACCCAAAUCCGAGUUUCCAAUCUCAAAAUGUGAUAAAAUAAGCUCAAAGUUCAAAAAUGACACUGACGAGUUAUAUAUAUCAUGAUAGCAGAAUACCCUUUGUGAUCGGAAAGAACAAAGUGACACUGCCUAGAAUAAUGCACCAUGCGAUCCUGUCUAAUCCCCAUGAUCGCAAAAGCCAACAAUUGGAUGCUGAAGAACAAAGUGACACUGCCUAAAAUCACGCCCACAGAAGUGCAAACACGAGACCCUCACACAAAUGUAGAAUCCAAUGAGCCAACUGCCUCCAGUAACACUCUGCAAUUGCAAAGUGACGAGUGCGAAUGCGUUAACCAGCUCCACCACCUUAUGUGAACAUGAUGCAUAAUUUGCUAGCUGCCCAACAAUCUUUGACAAGAUCGCGUAACUACACCCGUGAUCGCGUAACACAUCAAAUGCACCAGAAACCAACACUGUGCAACACCUCCAAAAUGGUCCAAAACCACUCCGAAUUACACUCUAGGCCCUCAGAACCCAUUCAAACAUACCAACAAGUCCAAAUACAUUAUCCAAAAUCUUGAAACAACGUAAAUAACAUUAAAACCAAGCAUCGAUGAUCAAGAUCAUUCUCUUAGCUUUCAAACUUCAAGCUUCGUUGAACGCGUCUGAAUCCUACUAAAUCAACUUGGAAUUAAACCAAACAUUUCACAUAAGUUUCAAAUGACAAAACAAAACUAUUCCAACUUCCGAAACAACAAUCUGAAUCUGAUAUCAUGAAAGCCAACUCGCGGUUAAACCUAUGAACUUCUAAACCUUCAAAUUGCUAACGUUUACCAAAUAGAGCCAACACAACCCAGGAUUCUCCAAAUAGCAAUCUGAACAUACACCUAAGUCUAAAAUUGCCACACGAACCUAUUGAAAUCAUCAAACACAAAUCUGAGACCGUUCAUAUAAGAAGUCAAAACUUGGUCAACUCUUUAGCGUAAAGCUUCCAGAUAGAGAAGUACUCUUGCGAAUCACUCCCGAACUUCUUGAAAAAUUAAAACCAACCAUAAACGCUAGUCGAAAUACAUCAAAUGAAGCCACUCGAAGUUUUAAACCACAUAACAAAAUGCCAAUUCUCAAAACGAUCGAUCAGGUCAUUAAAUUCUUCCCCAUUUAAAUAUAUGUUCAUCCUCAAAUGUGCCAAGAGUCGUCCCAAAGCCAUUAAAUCACCCUACAAACUCACUAUACACAUACCCAUGGGUGAUCCCAUGCCACCUAAAUACAUAUAAACAUGUCAACUCAACCUGACUGAAGAUUUUUUCUUCAACCUUAGUCCAUAAAACUUAGAAUCCAAUCUCCAACAUCUGAAAUUCCUUAUAAGACCCAAUUCUCGCAUCUAUUCUCUGUAUAAGUCUAACCAAGCUGCAUCAAGCCAUGACCAUAUUCCAAGAUAUAAUCACACGAUAUACCACAUAGCUUAUGUACUCAUAGUAAUAUCUUUCGACCACAUAGUUGCUCAUUACUAAACCUGGUACCGGUAAUAUAACCCAUAUCAAAUAAAACCUUGUCCUAACCUUCAAAACACUACUAAUGAUGUAAUAAACAAGUAGAAACUCAUAACGACACACCCAAUCAACAAGUCGUGGAGUUCUCUCGCUCGACAAAAAUCAUUGCCAAAUUCUAAGCUGACAAAUGACAUUUUUAUCCAAACAUACCUUAUCCAAGUCCGAUUGCACUAAUUCUAGGUCCAAUGAUCUUAUCUUAUCCAGCACAAACUAUUCGACUAACAAGCCACACCAAAUGCCACCUAGUCACACACGACGCAAUUCAUGCCUCUAACAAGUAACAACUUGAAUAUAACUAGGGAUAGAAGGAGAGCCAAAUAAGAGAACCACCCAACAAGUUCAACAAAUACUACCACAAAGCACAAUGCUACGAACCCAUCUCACAAGGGAAAUCAAAACACACAGAGAAAGCACAAAGAUUAUAUCCCAACAUAACUCCAUUGUAGUGCGUGACCCAAUCUAAACAUACUGAUCCACAUAAGAUGCUCAUCGAGCCAUAAUGCUCACAAUCAACCACCAUAUGUGUACCAACAACAAAUGUGCAAAAUACAUGACCAUAACUAUAGAGAAAUAGAUAGAACAAUAUAUCCUAGAUAGGAAAACCAUAUCCAAGGUGCAAUAAGCAAUUCAACACCCCAAGAGCCUUUUUACUUGAAUUUCGCCACAAGGCCUAAACAGAAUCAUAUCAGGUGCGUGUAAAGCCAAGUAGUCUCACAAUCUAUCAUAGCAUAAGACAGGAACAUACAAAACACACUAGGGCAAAAAUAACAUAUGUUCUCCCCAGUGACAUACCCAUAGUAAAUGUUGCACCAGAGUAAGAAAGCAUCAGAUGUAGAAUACACAUUCUCAUUAGGCCUACCAUAGCCCCCAAAAUCAAGUUUCGAUCAUCCCAAAGUAGGUAAGUAAUCUUCCAAAUAUCCAUUGUAACCUAUCCAUAACACAUGCCAUCUACCGUCUAACACUUAACAUACCUCCACGGUCCCCAACCAAGGAAUAAUCUAGCUCUGAGAUCAUCCAGUCUCUAAACCUCAAGAAUACCGGAAUAUCCAUAUCUGAUCCCAACUCCACCACUCUAUAACUGAAACAUCAAUCAUAAACAAUCAUCUCAUAGAAAAUACUCACAUAAAUCUUCUGCGCCACAUAGCAAAAACCUGAACAUCAACAAUCAACAUCUAGGCGAUUAACGUAAUACUAGUCAAGCAGCCGCAAGUCAAAAACACAAUGCAUCUCCUAACACACACACCCUUCUCGGGCGACAUCAUGUGGUACUAACAUCCUCUAAAUAUCUAAAAUCUCCCAUGUCGUCUAGAACUUAUGACCUUCCUUUACAAACCGAAUCGCAACCUUGCUUAUGAAAUCUCAAUCCCACACGACGCACCACAAAUAUCAAUGCUAACUUGUGAAGAUACAAAAUUUCAUAAUAAACUCUAAAACACAUGUAGGAUAGACAUCCUAUCAACUAAAAACCUUCUACAAACUCGAUCAGGCUAAACAAAAUUACAACACGUAACAAAAUCUCUGUGCAUAUAGAGUUCAUCAACCGCAAGUCGUGACCAAAAUAUUUCUGUUUAUGGCGAAAUCAGAGGGUCUAGUUUCUCGUCAUUAAGGCAUUUCGGGAAAUCAUCUCGAAGACCUUGAGGCUGCGAGGCUGUGGUCGAGCUCCCUCCCUCGAGGUUCGUUAGCGCCCGACGUAACAACAAUGUUGGCCGCGGUCAUGAUGGGAAUGUGGAGUUCCCUAGGCAUGCAACUAGUAUUAGCAGAGCCUGGUGCCAUCUAGUUGUCCCAUCCCCUAUUUUUGUAAUUAAUGCUUUUGUACUAUGUUGGGAUUCCCCUCCUAUAUAAAGGGGUUCCUUGAUAUUUUGUAAACCCCCUGUUGUUCCAGCUACUCCAUAAGAAAUAUAGAAGAACAUUCUCUUUUCUCUCUCAUACACUCUCUUGAUAUUAUUGCUUUCAUUUAUUAUCUUCAUAUUUGUUCAUCAUUUAUUGCUUAUCAUUGGAUAUAAAGAGCCUCCAUUGAUUUUUUUAUAACUGUUAGUCACAUAGCAACUGUAUUCGAUAGCUCGUAAUCGAGCUCCGGAAUCGACCCGAGGCCCAAAAUCGACGAGCUUGAGACCCCAAUUAUUGGCCUAUCAAUUUGAUUAUAGCUUUUUCCUUAAAUUUAUUUCGUCUCUAAAUCUCAUAUACUUAGCAUCAAUUGCUUAACAAACUAGUAUAAAAAUAGAUCACGUAUUUUUAGAGUCUCAUCAACAAAUUUAAUUUACCAUUUUCACGGUAAAUAGUUUGGUGUCCACCGUGGGGCUAAAAAUAAUAGUGAUUAUUUUCUUGCUGGUUUUGUCACUCAACGCAAGUUAUCUUUCAUGCUCUUUCUUGUCCAAGAUCUUUGAUUUCAGGUCAAUAUGUCUAACUCAGUAUAUAGAGGUGAAAACAACAAUCUCGAGGACCACGGGGAGAACGUUGUGGAUGUUCUGGGUGUUGGUGUGCUACCACAAAACCCUGGGAAUGUGCUUGAACCAAUCCCCAUGGACGCGGUCUCGCGCGACGCCCAACACAUCGAUAUAAGCUCGCAUACUGAUAGGAGCGUGCAUCAGGGAGAUCCACAAGAAGCUCAGAAAACCCCGACCAUGGAAGAACGUGAGCUUAGCCUUCAUGUUAUUUUUGAAAUAUUGCAGGCACAACAGCUAGCUAUUUCUCAAAUGUAAAGUCACCAGAAAACUCCCAGCACGGUAGCAUCGGGGACAACACCCCCAGCUGAACAUGUACCAGAGAGAUCAAGCAAUAACGGGUUGAUGACCGAUCCUGCCAUCGUAAAAAUGCUUGAGGACCUCACCGGGAGGAUCGAGUCGGGCGAGAAGAUGAUAGAAGCCAAUGAUAAAAAGGUCAAAACCUACAACUCCAGGGUCGACCAAAUUCCGGGCGCACCCCCGGUCCUGAAAGGUGUGGAUUCGAAGAAGUUCAUAUAAAGGCCGUUCCCCGAGGAAGCGGCCCCAAAACCCUUCCCAAAGAAGUUCAGAAUGACAGAAAUCCCAAAGUACAAUAGGACCUCAGACCCCAACGAACAUGUUACUGCCUACACUUGUGCGGUAAAAGGCAACGACAUAAAGAACUACGAAAUCGAGUCCGUCUUGUUAAAGAAGUUCGGGGAAACACUCUCGAAAGGGGCCAUGAUAUGGUAUCACAACCUAGCUCCCAACUCCAUAGAUUCAUUUGCCAUGCUGGCAGAUUCCUUCAUAAAGGCACAUGCCGGUGCCAUCAAAGUAGCAACGAGGAAAUCUGACGUGUUCAAGAUGAAGCAAAGGGAAAACGAAAUGCUGCGUGAGUUUGUGUCUCUCUUCCAAACGAAACAAAUGGAACUACCGCCGGUCUCGGACGACUAGGCAGUGCAGGCCUUCACUCAAGGCCUGAAUGAACAAAGCUCAGUGGCUUCGAGACAGCUGAAAGAGAAUCUGGUCGAAUACCCCGUCGUGACCUGGUCGGACAUCCAUAACCGAUACCAAUCAAAAAUCAGGGGCGAGGAUGAACAACUGGGAGCCCCCUCGGGCUCAAUAUAUCCAAGUAGGCUCUUGGCGAAGGAGCCAAAGCCAAACAAAGAAAGAUACCAACCAUACACCGAAAAUAGAAGGAACGCUCCGAGGCGCAACCCACGUCGCAAUGAUCGAAGGAUAGACCGAAGACAGAAUCUUCAGGGACUCAUCGAUAGAGCCAGAUUUGAUCGGAACACAUGGCUAAUAGAGGCGCCUCGCUUAUCGAAAUACAACUUCAAUAUGCAAAUUGAAGAUUAGAGAUGCCAGAUGGCCCAGAACUGAACAAUCGGAUCCUUCGCAAAGAAGCUACAAUUUAAUAUGCAAAUUUCACAACACGUAUGGGCAUAGGACUGAAGAUUGCCGGCAACUCUGGGAGGAAGUGGCCUGAUUACUCGACAAUGGCCAUCUUCAGGAAUUCUUUAGCGACCGAGCCAAAAAUCGAUCUCGAGAAAAGGAAACGGCCAAAAGGGACAAGGCAGAUGAGCUGCAACAUGUAAUCCAUGUGAUCUUUUAAGAUGGCCGCCACUCACCGAAGCACCGAAAUCCCCUCCUGCAGAGGGACUAAAAGAUAAAUCGACAAAAAAAUAGCAACCACGAGACCAUCUCCAAGGUUCGAAAGCGCCAUCGCCAUUGAGGUAUAGCCAUCUCCCUUUUCAUUUUAUAUUUCACACUAACCCUCAUGGAGGCACCCGAUCGAAGCAGUCAAAGCACUAACCCAACCCAAAUACCUUAAAGUUUUAAAGCAUCUGUUACACUCUUUUCCUUUGACCGAGUUUUUUUUAUCCUGACAAGGGUUUUUACAGGCAAGGGUUUUAACGAGGCAACAUCCACAUGCUACCUAAGGAAGACUCGACAAGUAUUCCAGGCUUCUUUUGCAAUCAACCCCGAAUACUGGAGGGCAUCCCCCCAUGGUCCCAUUAGUAAAAUGAUGUAUCGGGCCAAACGGUCGAACGAACCGUGCCUAUAUAGUCGGUCCCCUGACAAUGAAACUAUGUAUACUUGUGUCAGGCAAUCAAAGGAUACCUUUUGUCAAAGCAUCUCAUACUCCAAAGGAAACUCAGCAUUUUUUCUAAAACGAUUCCUCCAUCAAAGACGUCUCGAAUACUCAGAGACUAACGUCAAAAAUUUGAUACCCGCAUGACCUCAGGGUCGGAACUCCAAACUCAUAAGCCCUAAAUGAGGCAGCAUGAAAAGCACAAAACAUCUCCAAGGCCAAAAGUGCCCCGAACACUCGGAGACUAGCACCGAUAUCUCCAAAAACGCACGACCUCAGGGUCGGGAUCUCCAAAAUCGUAAGCCCUCGACGAGGCAAUACAAAGUUUGCUAAUAAUGGCUCCCGAGUCAAGAAACCCUCGACGACUCAGGGACUGCUAUUAAGCGCCACCUCCAUCGAUUCAUCAAAACCCGAGGCUGUAAGACCCGAGCGGGCAGACUCGGUCUCUAAGACCUACAUAAGGCAGCAACAAUAACUGUAAGACCUCAACGGCAUGUAAAAAUGUAAGACCUCAACGGCGUGUAAAACUUGUAAGACCUCAAUAAAGGCAUAUACCCGAUCCCAAAGUUUCGGCUAUAUAUCGAACUUGUAAUACCCCUAAAAAGGCAUACCCUCGAUAUAGAUGCCGAAACUACUUCACUCGGGACUCAAAGGCUCUAGCCAAAAACAAGUGACUCCGUUUACACGGCUGUACCAGCCGAACUAAUGCGACUCGGGGACGCCGAUUGUCACUACAAAAUUACAGGCCUUCAAUUACUCCGAAUAUAUUUCGGAAAAAAUCGGUUAACCAGGGUACCCUCGGCAUAAGCAAAAUAGCUUCGACCAUGUUUGCUCCAAAUCACAGGCUCGAGCUACUCAGCCUCCGAGCCAAACCUCCCGAGGUGCUCAAACAUCGUCACAAGUUACCUGAAAUCGAGGUUCUUCCCGAACCGAUGACGGGUCAGGCAAAAUUACUUCAAAAGCCCUUAACGAGAGGAUAAUAAAGCCUACAUAAAUGGUCGCAUCGACCAAGCACGUAAGAGCCAUUUUUGCCAGCCUAAUGAGCCUUAGAGCCACACAUUUAAAUGGUCACUUCGACCCAAGUCGUAAGAGCCACUGUCGCUAGCCUGAAAUCUAAAAAUUUGAGGGUCAAAAUGAGCUCGAGUCGUAACUUGAUUCGGAGACUGGACCCAAAAUAGUUAACCAAAUAUGCCUAAGGGAAAAAGUGUAACAACCAUUGUCGCCAGCCCACAUACACUAAAAGGCCGCAUCGGCCCAAGGCAUAAGAGCCAUUGUCGCUAGCCCACAUACACCAAAAGGUCGCAUCGACCAAAAGCGUAAGAGCCACUCUCGCCAGCCUAAAUCAGCCAUUCGAAGGUCAAAUAAGCUCGAGUCGAUGCCUGACUCGGAGACUAAACCCAAAACGGUUGAACAAAAACAUAAGAGCUCAAACGCCAACUUAUACUAAAGGUCGCAUCGACCAAGCGUGUAAGAUCCCUCGGACUAGCCUAAUGAGCCCCAGGGCCGUAUCAUCAAAUUUAAAGACUCAUACUAACCCAAAGGUCGAAUUGAUCUAGCUAAAAUCUUGGCAAACAGAAACCUAGAAGAUACAAAACCGUGAGGUUUCCCUCUUAUACAUACAUGUAAUGGAAUACAAGCUCCGUUUACAACAUACUGCGAAAGCUAUAUACAUAAGAACGAGAAGUAAGUAAACAUCCUCUUUGGGGACUACAGCCUAAUGGCCCCGUCCUCUCCAUCCUCUCCAUUGGACAAAAGGAACUUGGCAACAUACUCCUCCGCUUGGCUUGCUCAAUCUCCUCCAAAAGACUGAAACCCCUGGCAUGAACUUCCUCGAGAGUUUCCCUCCAAGAUUUGCACUUUGUGUACUCUUUACUGCUGCUUACAUGACCGAGAGUUCUCCUUAGCUCAGCUCUAGCAGUGGCAACACUCUUCAAAUAAGCCGCCGCCCUCUGAUCCGCCCUAGUGCUGCUCAUCACAGCCUUGGCCCGAGCAUUCACCACCUCGACCUUCGCCUUCGAAAGCUCAAACUCGAGCCUUGCGAUCAUGUUUGCCCACACGGAAUCACUCGCACGAGCGGUCCGGAUUUGCAUCUCCAGGGUGGAAACUUUAGCCAAAGCACUCUCCUUGGCCGCAACUUGAGCAUCUACAUGGGCUUGCAGCUCGUCGAACUCACGUUUGACCCUGCCAACUUCGCCCCAGAGUUUCUCCAGCUCCUCCAUUUUGCUCCCCAAUUGAAAUAUUCCGCAAGUGAAAGAAGGAGCAUACGUCAACAUGAAAUACAAGGUACCUGAUUCUCAAGGAAGCUCUCGCGGCUCCAGCUUUGAUCCACCUCACACCGCAGGGAUACCAACUCGCCUUCGUUUUUCACACAAAGAAGCUUAAGGGAUUUCUCCCUAUCCGAAGUUCUCCGCAACCGAGCCUCAUAACAGGGUAGCUCGGAUUUGAGCCUGUCAAAGGGAUACGAAAGAAAAUUUAAUGAGAAAGGAAGGGUGUGAAAUCAGAAUAUUUCUAUGCCGGUUACCAAACUUACCAUAAUGCCAAGCCGCUGAGCCUCACCAAAGGCCGAGCCAAUGACCGAUGGCUUAGUGUCCCCCGAAGCGCCUUUGUCAGAAGAAGAAGGCACCACGUUCCCCUAACUCUUAGGAGCACCAUCAGCAGAAAUGGGGAAUGUUCUAUCGAGAACGGAAGCCUCCGAAACCAAAUGGUCGGUCGAAUUGCCUCUCCUAAACUGCUGAGAGGGAUUUGCCCUGCUUCGAGCCUCCUCGCACCCCGGGGAUCCUUUCCGUUUAUCAUCGACUUUCGACCCCGAGGUCAGCAGUCUCUCCUCCUCCCCUAGAGGGCAUGGCCUCAUCUGAGAGAAAUCUCCAAUAGCUGCGGCGGCUAAGUUAGUACGCUGAAAAGAAAAACACCAUUUUGGGAAAACAAGCCACCAGACGCCUACCAUGAUGCUCUGCCUCCUACCUCCCUUUGGAGAGGUCUCGCCACCUGCGCCUAUCAUAAGUCGAGCAAGCUUCCAGCUUCCGAGACCACUUGGCCAAAUCAGGGACCUCGUUCGGCAACCAGGGAGUCGCUACAAAAGUGAAACGAAAAAAUGUCAUUACGGAGCCCGCCUCUAGUCAAAAUGAUUAAAAAUAAUAGGUGCGGCACUUACAUGUGAAUUUCCAUUUCUCAGGAAAGGGCAUAAACUCUCCAAGAAUGAUAUUGAUCGUACGAGUUCGAACGAACCGGUUCAUCCAUCCACUGUCCUCGCCCUCUUCGUUGUUAACGGCGGGAGACCGGGUGUAUCGGCGCUGUAGAGCAAUCAGACCUCGAUAGCGCAGUGGCCGAUAUAACCUCACGAGAUGACUAAGAGUAAACUCAAUCUCGGUCUUGUCGGCGAAAUAUCUUAUCAUCUGCACUAUCUUCCAAAGGAAUGGGUGAUCCUGCGCCAAGGUAACCCGAUAUCUUCGACAGAACUCAAGCACGACCCGGUCUGGGGGACCCGAUGCAAAAGUGUGCGUGUACACGCUCAAAACCCCCUCAACAUAGGUCAUGAUGCUCUCUUCAGAGGAAGGUACUUGUAAUACCACACCUUCUCCCCAUCCGCAAUCUUUUCUGAUCAUAUCGAGGUUUUCCUCUCCCACUGAUGAGAUGAACCUCGAUGCAUGCUCCCGAUGUCCUGGAACAUUGGGAGGUCUCCCCAACGUAAUAUCUCUUCUCGAGGCAAGGCACCUCGAGGCCCGCUCACCGGGCACCGACCGAAUACGUAGGCAGAACCCCCAUCUCUUUGGUGGGCAGAUGUCGAUGUAUCAGUCAUGGAUAUGAUAGAAUAAGAGGGGGGAGAUAUAAAUUUGAGCAAAGACUUUGAGUUAGAACAACUAGAGAACUAGCACAAAGCGCCAGGUUCUGUGGUCACUCAAAGUAGCAGAAUCUCCAUUUGAGAGGCAAACGAAUGAAAAUAUAGGGUCAAGGUAGCGGCUGCUCGCCUACCUAGAGGGCCAAUUAAUUCUAGUCGCGUUAACGUCACCCUUUUUCUAGGGGAAUGUACUGACAGGAUCUCCCCGGGGUCCCUUUACCAGAUUGCACGAAUGCUGCUAUUCUGCAAAAUUCGAGAAACUAGCAAGGCCUCGAGGGCCCUUCGCUAUCACUAGCACUGUCCCUAAAGAAUCUGUCGAUCUAACUUCGAGACAGGACCCGAUUUAGGGGGCCCGGUCGCUCCGAUAUGGUUUUUGAAGAGCUAACGCCAAAAGUCAAAGUGUUAACUCCGCACGAGCAGCAAGGUAAAAAGAACUAAAAGACAAGAGAGAAGAAAACCCCCUUUUUCACAUUUGCCAAAAAUAUAUUUACAAGGGGCACCUUUACAAGACUCACUCCCCUGGGAACGCAUGCACAAAAAGAAAAAGGGAAAAAAGUAAAAAGCGACGCGAGGCCUACUAUUCAUCGCCACUAUCCCCCGAACCAUCUCUGGGAUCCUCAUCUGGGACGAUCAAAAGUGCCAACUUUCUCUCUAGCUCCCGGGCCUCCUCAAUUCCAAUUGACAGAUCGACGCCUCCGGCCUCGAUCUUCUCCAAGGUUUUCCUUCUCGCCUUCACCCUAGCAUGUUCGGUGGCUCGAGCCAGUUUCUGCUCGGCCUUUAUCGAUACGUCGCCGGCUAUUUGAUGCGCUAUGGCUGCGUCCUUCAAGUAAGUAGCGACAUUUCCUUCAAUCUCGAACUUGGCCACAACCAGAGCAACUAUCUCCUUUCGAGCACCCUUGAGAAGAUCAUGGGUCGAUGCCAACUCCGAGGUUACUACCCCAUUUUGUUCCCUCAGCCCGAGGAUUUCCACAUUCAGUCGCCCAAUCUGCGAGUCAUUUUUCUUGACCUACAAAGGGAAAAGUAAACCAGUCAGUAUCGAAUUAUGGGAGCAAGGGAAAGACUCAUGCAUAACAAAAUAUCUGCUCGACAAGGGCAACGUUUUCUUGGAGUGUUCCCUCCAAAGUAGCCCAGAGCUCGUCUGACUCUUUAUCCUUCCGGACAGAACGAGCCUCCGACUCUCGCUGUCUCGAGGACAACCUCUCAAGCUCCUUCUCACGGUACGAAAGUUCCUCGUUAAGCCUAAAGAUGGCAUGAUCAUACAUGUCCUUGCACCACAGCAAAAGAGAAGAGUUAGAAGAAUGAGGAAAGAUACUCGAGGCUAAAAGAAAUAUACUUAAAGCAGCUAUCACCAGCUGCAUGAACUUCUCGGCUGCCUUGACAGAGCCGGGAACGUCAAUAUAGACGUUCCCGCUAACAUCGUCAAAAUAUUGCCCGACGUGCCUCCCCCUUGAGAGGACCCCCGACUUUGGCGGCGUUUGCAUCUUGAGCAUCCCUUAGCUCCCCUGACGAGAAAUGGGAGCCGAAAAUGAAAUCGCCUAUGUAACCAAUGUCCACGAGGGGCAGUUCUUGCCCCUGAAAAGCUCCGAGCCUAGAUCCUUCGGGAACGGUAGCAAUGGUCCCCCUACCAAAAACUGCACCACGUCCGGAUGGAGGAUCGGGAACCACAUUAGCAUCCUCCUCGAGGGUCUCCACUACACGGGAUCGACUUGAGUCAGCCGUCCCCAAUUCAGCAGCUUCUGGUCAGAGUAUCUGCGGGACUCCCGCGUCCGGCCUCAGCCUUUCCUCUAGGCGGUAUCUGCUCUCAUCAUCAUUUUCGUCCCCAAUACUGAGGCUUGCCUCGGAAGCAGAAGCUGAGGUCCCAAUGGCGGUUCUAGUCCUGUGCGGCUUAAGUUUCUCAUCACAGAAAGGUCGGCAGCCUCCUUGUCUUUCCUUUUAUUACCCUCGGUAGGCUCUGAAACCUCCGUCCCGCCUCCAGGGAGUUGUCUCAGCAGCACAUUCUUGCCAAGGCCUGCACAAGCAUAGCGGCCACAACUUAUCAGCAUAAGAAGGUACAGGAAAAAACAUAGGGUUAAGACGUAGGUGGCAAGAGAAACUUUACCAUGGUUCUUGGCCACCCACAGCAUAUUGUCCAGGUCGGUCCAAGAUCGGGAAAGAUACGGAAAGUUGUUAUCCAAUCGCCCAAUCCACCCUAGCAGAUCCGAGACCACUUUAGGAUACCAAGUGGCAGCUGUAGAGAACAAAAAGAGGUCAUCUUUUUUGGAAGAAAGGAAAGAGGGUCACAAAACAUGUCCGAAGGGAAAACUGCUUAUGCUACAUGUUCCAUCUCUCCGGGAAAGGCAUCCUCCCGGCUGGAAUGAUGUCCGAGGUUUUAUCCUGGACGAACCUACUCAUCCAUCCCCGAUCUUUCUCCUCGUCGGUGCUCGAGAAAACGACUUCUUGGAUCGAUGGCCAAGCCUAAGCCUCGAUAGAACCAGGGGCUGUACAUCCUGAUCAAGUGAUUUAGGGUAAAGGUCUCGUCCCCAACCUGGUCGGUAAAAUAAUAGAGCAUCAAGACUAUCCUCCAAAAAGAGGGAUAGAUUUGACUGAGCAUCACCUGAUAUUUAUCGCAAAAGUCGAGGAUCACCGGAUCUAUUUCUAGGGGAGGGGAUCUAGAAUGAUCGGCCGGACCCAAAGUAAAGGGAUAAGUAUAUACGUGGUGGAAAUAGGCUUUGUAAUCCGUUAUAUUCUCAUCAGGGCCGGGAAUCUCCACCUCCACUGCAUUCCUCCAUCGGCAAUCCCUUUUUACCGUCCCUGCAUCAGUCACGACACUGAUGUACCGGGACACGUGUUCGCAUCAGCCCGUUGUAGCAGGGGGUUUAUCAAUGGUAUAAUCUUUCGACAUGCCAAGAUCAGGGGGGAGUACAUUAUCCCAGGGUGGGUACCACUUUUGUUUUCUCCUUAGAUGACCGAGAUGAAGAGGCGACUUCGUUCCGCCGAGGAACCAUCUUGGAAGUUCUGGCUAUUAUGAUGGUAAAAUCUUCUUUAAGAAAGUAAUAAGGAAGAAUGUAAAAGGAGAUGGGUCUGGAUUUGCGAAUUUGAAGAUGUUGGGAAAAAAAGGAUUAUCGAAAGGUUGAUAUAUUUAUAGGAACCACAUGGGUAGUGGAAGGGACGAGCCAAUAGUGGUUCAUGAGUUUCGCGAUAGUCGCGUUUGACAGCGAACCUUGCAUGGUUUUUGGGCAUGACAUUUAAUGCUUUGAUAGGCUGACGUCAUGGCGGUGAUAUCCUUGGAACGGAGGCUCAAAAUCAUUUCAUAUUACUUCGUUCUAUGAAACGCGGAGACUAUCUAUAUACGGCAAAAUUGGAGGGUCUAGUACUCGUCAUUAAGGCAUUUCGGGAAAUCAUCUCGAAGGCCUCGAGGCUGUGGUCGAUCUCCCUACCUCAAGGUUUGUUAGCACCCGACCUAACAACAAUGUUGGCUGCGGUCAUGAUGGGAAUUGGGAAGUUCCCUAGGCAUGCAGCUAGUACUGGCAGAGCCUGGUGCCAUCUAGUUGUCUCAUCCCCCUAUUUUUGUAAUUAAUGAUUUUGUACUAUGUUGGGAUUUCUCUCCUAUAGAAAGGGGGUCCUUGACAUUUUGUAAACCCCCUGUUGUUCCAGCUACUCCAUAAGAAAUAUAGAAGAACAUUCUCUUUGCUCUCUCAUACACUCUCUUGAUAUUAUUGCUUUCAUUUAUUAUCUUCAUAUUUGUUGAUCAUUUAUUGCUUAUCAUUGGCUAUAAAGAGCCUUCAUUGAUUUUAUUAUAACUGUUAGUCACAUAGCAACUGUCUUCGAUAGCUUGUAAUCGAGCUCCGAAAUCGACCCUGAGGCCCAGAAUCGACGAGCUCGAGACCCCGAUUAUUGGCUUAUCGGUUUGAUUAUAGCUUUCUCCUUAACCCUAUUUCGUCUCUAAAUCUCAUAUACUUAGCAUCAAUUGCUAAACAAACUAGCAUAAAAAUAGAUCACAUAUUUUUAGAGUCUCAUCAAUAAAUUUAAAUAUUAUUACCAUUUUCACGGUAAACAAUUUCAACUCUUUGGAACCCAUUUGCACAUAAUCAAAUCAUUAGAACUGAAUCGCUUUAAAUCAAUCAAGUCGCGUAGAUUGCUAAAAGCAAGAGUACCUCAACAUGAAAAUGUCAGCACUGAAGAACCCUUUAACGAAUCUAAAGAUGUUUCUUUCACCUUUCUAAUACCUCACUGUAGAAUCAAUAAUGAUAUAGAAUAUCGCAAGUCUCGACACCAUCCAAUGUACGCCCCAAGUCCUAACCAUACACAAAUCCUAAAAUCCUUAAAAGCCACAUAUGAGUCUUGAGCCUGUUGGAACCUUCUCGAAAGUCAUUCACCUUUCUCUAUUACCCAAUGCACAACCAAUGUGCACCGAACAACCCACGCUCCGCCAGCACAUGGAUAUCUAAAAUAAGCAACCAAGUGAUUCCUUUUCCUUGCACGUUAUAUCCACAACAAUUAUUAAACCUGAAUCAUCCCAAGAACUCUAUAUUCUUAUAAGGUUAGUAUGUUAUACAUCCAAUUGAUCCCUUGCUCUAUAUCAUCCUUGAUGCAAUCUUUCUCAAAUCAUAGCCAAUCCACAAGCACAUCCUAGUCCAAGAACUAAUAUAACGCAUGAUCAUUUAAUAUGGUCAUUGAUAGUAUACUCCCCCACUUGGCUCAAAGUCAUAGAAUACAUCAUUUGUAACCCACAAUACCCUUUAUUCAUAGCUUCCCCGAUCUCGCACUGUUAAUCAGCCAAAUACUUCAUAAACUCAGGUGAAUCUAGUCAUAAAACACCCAAAGGACUCUGCCAAGUGUAUACUCAUUCUCAUGAUAGUCGCAUGAACUUCCUCAAGCCCUCCAAAAUGGUAGUAUAUGCAUUCCACUGAAUAGAAACCUCAUACGAAUCACAAAACCUCAUAUCCCACUGGCUAGCCUCAAAUCAACAUCUUUCCAUGACCCUACCAUAGUCACAACAACUAGGUAACCAAUAAUCCUCUCGAGUCCAUACUCAUCAAUCAGUUACAGGAAUCUACUGCAUCCCAUAAAUGAUUAACUGAAAGAUCCAGCGUUGCAUCUGCUUUCAAGACCAAACAACAUAACACAAUAAUAAUCAAGCAUCUAUAGCCCUUUGUAGUCCAUGCACAACAUCACAAGUCAUCAGUGCAUCACUCAUACCGAGUGCGCUACAUCACAAAUGAGUGAAUGAAAGAAAAUCAAAGAUACAGGCUUCAAACUGAAACAAGGUCGCACAAUAAAGAGAGAAAGGUGGGAAGUUUCCUAGAUGCCUUGUAGCCUCUUGAAGAUAGGUAUGGAUGUCAUCAUAUUGAUCUGCAAGACUCUACUAGACACUUUCUCAUGACUCGUAGAACCUAUAAAACUAGAGCUCUAAUACCAACUUAGCAUGACCUAAAAUCCCACCAAUAUUGUGAUGGCACCUAAUCUAACCUUCUAUGUAAGUCAAACUGUAUAACUUACUACAAUAAUGAGAAAUCAUCAAUACUAUAAAUAAGACUGCAAAAGAAUUUAAUACAAUUACCCCAAGGACUAGUAGUAGUACAAGUCAUGAGCCACUAUGAUUUAGAUUUAUAAAGCUGGUGAAAUGAAUAAAUACAACAACAUUUUGAAAGUUACAAAAACAAAAUGAAAUCCUAAGCUACCAUGAACAAAAGUGUAGCCUAAAUUUGGUACGCUUGUACAUCUCCAAUGCAAAGUUCUGUCUUCACAGUUACUCGGCUCCAAAUUCUGCAUGCAAAGUACAGAAGUGUAGUAUGAGUACAACCGACCCCAUGUACUUCUUAGUAAGUAUCUUGACUAACCUCAGAGAAAUACUGAUGAGGUUUUUAAGUUGAAAGAUACUCACUUAUCAAAUAACCAGUACAAUAUAUCAAAGACUGGCAACAGAAAGUUUAGCAAAAAACAAUAACUAUAAUCUCAUCAGAACAAGUGAUAACAAUUCAAUGCAAGUGAAGGCUCAACUUUAAAAUAAGUCAUCAAAUAGAAUUGCACACAUAUGGCACCUCAUGCCCACAUUAUCAAUUUCCCUCACACUGCAAAGACCUCGUGCCACAAUAUAAACUGAUUCUGUAUCAAUUGCUAAAUAACACUAUUAAGAGAACUUUUCAAGAAUCGAAUGUAUUAAUGCAUGACGAAUACUUCCUCAUCUCGUCAAUCUGAUAUGCUACCAACAACUCAACAAAAUAUGAGAUAUCAACUCCACGUAGGUAAUCCAUCUUGGACACCAAAUCAUAAGAAAAUCAUAUGCAUAUUCAAGGAUGUCACCCUUGUUGUAACGACCCAGCCAAUCGUUUUGAGAAUUAACUCCCCGAUCCCCUAUUAACUGCUUUUCUCAUGUUUAUUUUCUGCUAUUGUGAGUUGCCGGGAGGAUUCGUUUGGAGUUUCGGAGUGUUUUGGGAUACUUAGUCCCUAAAUGAGAGCUUAAGCUUUAAAAUUUGGGAUGUAGGCGGAAUAGUGUGGAGACGGACUCAGAAUGGAAUUCCGUCAAUUCCGUUAGCUCCGUUGAGUGAUUUCAGGCUUAGGGGCAUGUUUGGAUUGUAUUUUGGAGGUCCGUAGCUUAUUUAGGCUUGAAAUGCCGAAAGUUGAAUUUUUGAAGUUUCCAGAUCGAUAGUGAAAUUUUGAUAUCGGGGUUGGAAUCCAAUUCCGAAAGUUGGAAUAGAUCCGUAGUGUUUAAUGUGACUUGUGUGCAAAAUUUGGGGUCAAUCGGAUAUGGUUUGUUUAGUUUCGGCAUCGGUUGUAGAAUUCUUGAGAUUUCACGUUUAUUAGGCUUGGAAUGGAGGGUGAAUCGUGAUUUUAGCGUUGUUUGAUGUGAUACGGUGGUUGGAUUAAGUUUUCAUGAUGUUUAGGAUUGGUUGACAUGUUUGGUUGAGGUCCCGGGGGCCUCGGGUGAGUUUCGGAUGCUUAACGGAGGUGAAUUUGGACUUAGGCAAAUUCUGAAGUUUGUUGCUUUUGGUAUGUUCGCACCUGCACUGAGGAGCUCGCAGGUGCGGCCCGUAGAAGCGAGGAAAGAGGUUGUAGGUGUGGUUUGGGGUGCGAAGGCCAGUGGCCACAGAUACGGCUCAAGGACCGCAGAAGCUGACCGCAUCUGCGGAGAAGGGAGCGCAGGUGCGAUGCCUAGGGAGUUAAUGAAAUUCUGCAAAUGCAGAGCCCAAGCCGCAGGUGCGGUCCCAGAUGCGGAAAUUGCUGGGCAAAUAUAGAAAAUUCGAGGGUUUGAAAUUUCAUAACACAAAAAUCAAAUUGGAGCUCGGUGGGAGACGAUAUUUCGAGGGGUUUUGAAGGAGAAUCAUUGGGUAAUGAAUUCUAACUCGAUUUUGAUCACAAUACUAUAAUCUAUUGUUGUUUUUCUCUUCUUAUUAAGGAAAUUAAGGGUAAAAGUUUGAAAAUGGGAGAAAAGUUCCCCAAUUUAAAAUCUGAGUUUUGAGUGAGAUUUUGGCGUUGGAUUUUGGUGAUUUUUGUUCGAGUGUGCUCGUGAGUGAAUGAGUGUUCAUAAUCCGUAAAUUUUACCCUAUUCUGAGACGCGGGCCCAGGGAGGAUUUUUGGGCAUUUUUAUAUUUUUUUUACCUUAGCUUCGAUUUCUUUAGCUAAAUUCGUUGUUUGUAGUUAUAUUUACAUUAUGAAAUUUAUUUGAUUAGAUUUGGGCCACUCAGAGUUGGAUACUCGUGGCAACAACGUGAUUUUGGAUUGAUUUUGAGCUGGUUCGAGGUAAGUGGUUUGUCUAACCUUGUGGGGGGGGGGGGGAACUCCCCUUAGGAUUUUGGUACUGUUGUUAUAUGAGUGCCGUGUAUGUUAUGUGAAGAGUGCAUACACGUGCUUAUUGUCGAAAAACCCUGUUUUCAUUAAGUAAAUAUCUGUGUUUCCUUUUUGUUGAACACUACUUGUAUUUAAUGCCUACUGUUUAGCUUAGGAAAGCAUGCUUAAGUGACUUAACUAUUCUAUCUGCUUAAACUGUUUACUUGAAAUUCUGUGCAGCAUGUUUAGAAUAGAAAUCUCUAUUUUCUUGGUACGAACUUUGAUAGAACUGUAGAUUAUAUCUUGAGAUUGUUGUAUUUUUUUUACUUUGGGAGUACGGGACGAUAUCUCGGGAGACCCCCCUGCAUAUUUACUUUGGGACUAUGGAUCGGUAUUCCGGGAGAUUUCCCUGCACAUUUAUAAUUGGGACUACGGGAAGAGAUCCCCCUGUACUGGAUAUUUACUUUGGGACUACGGAUUGGUAUUUCAGGAGAUUCCCCUGCAUAUUUAUGAUUCGAGCUAUGGGACGAUAUCCCGGGAGAUCCUCUGCACAUUUAUGUUUGGACUACAGGACGAUAUCCUGGGAGAUCCCCUGUUACUAUCUUUGUGUACUGAGUUAUAUCCUUCUGUGAUUUUAUUCUUUAUCAACUGUUAGUAUUUUAAUUAUACUGUCGCAUUUCAUGCUGUUUUACCUUGUUUUGUAUACAUAUAACCAGUAGGGUCCUGACCUUCCUCGUCACUACUCGACCGGGGUUAGGCUUGACACUUAUUGGGUACCACUGUAGUGUACUCAUGCCCUUUCCUGCACAUGUUUUUCGUGUGAAGAUCCAGGUUCUUCUGCUCAGCCAUUCUAUUAGUGAGGCGGGCGAUAUCAGAGACUUCGAGGUAUAUCUUCCGGGUCCGCAGACCUAGAAGUCCCUCCCUAUUCUUCCCUUUAGCUUUAGACUUCCUGUAUUUACUUUUUAUUAGACAUUAUGGAGUUAGAACACUGUGUAGUUUUCUAUAGCUUAUGAUUUCAUAAGAUUUCGAAUUUUGGAAGUUUUGAUUCAGUUUUGAGAGUGUGUAUUGUAUAUGCCGAGCGACAUUUUAAACUCUUUUAUUAUGUUUUACCUGCAACUUGCCAGUUUCGUAUUUCAUUUCCUUUUUUCGCAAUUUGUUAGGCUUACCUAGUCAUAGAGACUAGGUGCCGUCAUGACAGUUCACGGAGGGAGAACUUGGGUCGUGACACUUGUACCACCAUAUAAACAUACAUAAUGAAAAUCGCCCCAGGCUACCACAUAACAUCCCAACUAUGCCACCCUUAUUUUGCUGCAUGCGCAUCACAAUGAAAUGCCUUUCGUAUUACGCCGCAUGUGCAUAAGCCAAUCUUAUCUCGCCGCAUGUGCAUCACAAUGAAAUGCCUCCCUUAUGUCAUCGCAUGCACAUCUCGCCACCCUUAUACUCCAAACAACAUCAGUCAACCCACACCACAUGCCUAGAUGUGCCAUAAUUAUCACAACAAUGCAAGAUAAUAAUUUAUCAUUAAGAGGCAUAUCCUUUUAACCCAUCAAAAAAGCGCACAAGUAUAUGAUAACAAUAAAAAUGUGGAUAAAGCAUGACUAUGGCCAAAUUAAUUAUAGCAACCACGUUCAACUAGUCAUACAAAGAAUCACAUACAUAUCAUAGAGUGCAUACGUCCCAAUCAAGGCACAUUACAAGAACAGGUCUGGAUGUGUGUUCAUAACCUACGUGCAUCUAUCUCCUAGGAAAUAUAGUAUAAGCCUCCGAAAUUUCUCAUCAUGUUCAAUAUAAGGUACCAAUAGCCUCAAUAUUCCUCUAGCAUGGUUUAUUGUACUCACUUAGUCUAUUAAUAAAAUAAUACAUGAAAUCAGGUAAAGCACACAACCAAUAAAACAGAGUAAGCUAGAAUUUGCCCUGAUCAUGAUACCUAUGGCACAUAUAUAUAUGCUCGUCACCUCAUAUAUACAUCACCCCCGCAUGUAGCAAAUAAUUUCAAUUAGUAGGAAAAAUUUCCUCAACAAAAGCUAGGUUAGACACUUACCUCAAACAAGCAAAAAUAAUACUCUCAAAAUGCUUUCCCACACGAAUCGACAUGUGAGCGGCUCGAAUCUAGCCAAAAACAACUCAAUAAUGUCAAAUAAUGCUGUAGGAAUCAAGCCCAAACGAUAAAGAUCAAAUUUUUAAUUAAAUACACAAAUUCAACCAAAAAGUUACUUGAGCCCGCACCCCGAAACCCAAUAAACUUUCAAAUCAUGAGCACCCAUUCAAAUACGAGUCAAAAUAUAAAAGUUUCAUCCAAAAUCAACUCCAAAUUGGGGUUCAAAUCUCCAUUUUACACUUUAGACAAGUUUUGUCAAACCCCCCCAAUAUUUCUUGACUUUAAUUCAUGAAUCAAAUGCAAAACCAAGGAUUUAAUAAUGAAUAAUACUCAAAUCCUUGUCGAGAAUAAUUACCCCAAUCCAAGAGGUGAAAAUCCCCUAAAAAUCAUCCAAAUCCGAGCCCCCAAUCUCAAAAUGUGAUAAAAUGAGCUCAAAUUCUAAAAAUGACAACUUAUAUGCAUCGCCUAGUUAUACACAUCACAAUCGCGGAAUAACCUUACCCAUCGCAAAGAACAAAGCGACAAUGCCUAGAAGAAUGCACACCAAGCAAUCGUGUCUAAGCCUAGCGAUCAUGAAAGCAAAUGACCUACAGAAGCGCGAACACGAGCCCCUCUAGCGAAUGAGCCAAUUGUCUCCAGCAACACUCCGCAAUCGUGAAGUGACGAGUGUGAAAAUGUUAGCCAACUCCACCACCUUACACGAACGCAGGACCUCAUCAUGAAAGUGAUACACAAUUUUCCAGAUGCCCAACAACAUUCUAUGCAAUCGCGUAGCUACACCUGUGAUAGUGUAACACAUCAGAUGCACCAGAAAUCAGCACUGCCCAACACCUCUAAAAUGGUUUGAAACCGCCCCGAAUCACACCUAAUGCUCCCGGGACUCCAUCCAAACAUUCUAACAAGUCAAAAUGUAUUAUCCAAACUUAUCCAAAAUCUCGAAACAACGUAAUUACAUCAAAACCAAGAAUUGAAGAUCAAGAUCAUUCUCUUAGCUUCCAAACCUUCAAACUUCGCCGAACGCGUCUAAAUCCUACCAAAUCAACUCUGAAUGAAACCAAACUUUGCACAUAAGUUCCAAAUGACAAAGUAAAAAUAUUCCAACUUUUAGAAAAAUAAUCCGAACCUGAUAUCAUCAAAAUCAACUCCCGGUCAAACCUAUGAACUUCUAAACCUUUUAAUUGCCAACGUUUUCUAAAUAGAGCGAAAUCAACCUAGGAACCUCCAAAUCGCAAUACGAACAUAUGCCUAAGUGAGAAAUUUCCAUACGAACCUAUUGGAAUCAUCAAAAUAUAAAUCUGAGAUAGUUUACAUAAAAAGUCAAACCUUGAUCAACUAUUCAACUUAAAGCUUUUGAAUAGAGAAUUACUCUUUCGAAUCACUCCCGAACUUCUCAAAAAAUUGAAACCAACCAUGCAUGUAAGUCCAGAUGCAUCAAAUGGAGCCACUCAAAGUUUCGAACCACCAAAAGAAAUGCCAAUGCUCAAACGAAUGGUUGAGUCAUUACAUAUUAUCUUUCAAAUGGUGGGACAUAUACGCUAGAAGCUAGUAAGCAAGAGCCAGUGUCAAGGGAUGCAACCACUACUUGAGGUAGAGGUUGGGGUAGAGUACGGGAUGGAGCCCAGGAGAGGACUCGUACUAUUGCUCCCAUUAGAGGUUGAGCACUCGCAGUGCUUGUGGUCAUGAUAAAGCUACUUCAGUUUAACCACCUGCAUCUCUAAAGGUGGAGCAUGCUCCAGUUCAAGGUGAGAAUCUAGGUCCAACACAGGUUCAUAUGAGUCUUAUUGCUACCCUUGUGCUUCAGGAGACUUUGGUUUGUAUUAUAGGGUUCUUUGAGAGCAUGGCUCAGACAAGAGCAAAAAAAAUAAGUCAAACCAUAAUGAAGUUGUGGUGAGGUUUUGACAAAAAGAUACUCACUUUCUAUAAUGUGUUCAGUCCAUAAGCAUGUACAAGAAAUAGAGAAACGAUCAAGAAAUAACAUAUAUACAUAAUAAGGUCUAAAUCAAGAAGAUGACAAUUCAGAUAAAAUGAUGAAAGGUAUAAGCAAGACAUCAACUCUGCAUACAAAGGUAACAUGCAAUAGCUAGGAUUGAUAUGAAUGCUUUUACAUGAGUCUAGAAUAUUCGUGCAUGAUAAAGACUCUCACUUUAUCUCAACGGACACCUCUCCGGUGUCCAAUAUCACUACACACACAUGCCCCAAUGUAGCAUGGCAAAUCAUGUGACUUCGAAGUGAUGGAACCGGAUCCAUGCGCCACAUUAAUACCAAUAUCUUAGAAAUCAAUCAUCAAUCCAAGUAGAAUGUUCCUUUGUGCAAUAAUCAAAAUAGCCGCACAAAAUGUCCCAUCAUGCUAACGUCAGUCCAUAUUAGAGAAUCAUGUGCAGGGAUGUAUGCAUAUGAAUAAGAGAUAAGCAUAUAAGAUGCAUAUAGACAAGGUGUAUGCAUGUAUACAAGUAUGCCUACAACUACAACAUGUAAUCCUACAUACGAAAUACCCAUCCUUUCCAAAUAAGCAAUGAAAAGCCUAAACAUGAUCUAUAACCAUAAAUAUUAUUGCUCAAAUAGUUAUACAAACAAAUAAUCAUAAAAAACAAGAAUAACAUGUCACAUACAAGGCAUAAAAAAGCCUAAAAUUAACCCAUAACAUGGUAUUACCUCGAUACCUGUAUAUACGCUCCUUACCUCGCAUAUAAGUCACCCUCAAACAUGUAGUAUUUAGCAUAUUAGUCUAAGAAAAGUUCUCUCAAAUCGAGAUUAGUCAAGAUACUUACCUUCUCCAAAGUAGGCUUCAACCUUCCAAAUGAUAAAGUUUCGAUCUUUAACAAAAUCUCAAAAGUUAACAAAAAGUCAACCCGGGCCACUUGGUUCGGACUCGAAACCAUGACAAAAUUCCGAUGACCCAUAACCUCCUAAGACUAAAUAUGUAAUUCAUUACCAAAUCUGAAUCCAAAUUGAGGCUUAAAACCACAAAAUACACUUUCUUAAGUUUUAAACAAAAACCCUAAUUUUUAUUUUUUAGAUUCAUAUCUUAGAUGUAUUAAUCAAGGGGUGUUAAAGAUCUAUGAUCAAUCCAAGUUAAAGUAACUUAUCCUCAAGAUUUGGGUUAAAUCUCUCUCCAAAAUCACCUAAUCCCGUUCUUCAAAAAUCAAAAUGGUGAAAUGAGAAAAAACCCCCAAAAUCUACACAUAAAAUACCCCUGGGCCAAAUAUUCGCAUCGUGAUCGCACCCUAAGGCCCAUGAAGAGCAACCUGGAAGACCCUCCGUGACGUAAUCAAAGACCACGCAACUGUGAAGGUUAGCUGGUUGGUCUUCAUUGCGAACAUUGCUGAUCACAUGUAACCACAAAGUGUAAAGCCCCAGCCCUACCUCCUCCACGCUAUUGCAGUACCAAGCCUCGCAAUCACGAUUCAUUAUUCAACAGUAGAAAAUGUGGUUGCUGCAACUUGGUUCAAAAUGCUCUAAAACAAUAUGAAACUAAUCUGAGCUCCUCGGUACCCUUCCAAACAUCUCAACAAGUCUAUAUACCUUAUACAAACUUGUCCAAAGGCUCAAAACACGUACCGAAGCAUCACAACUACAAAUCAAUGAUCAAACCAAAUUAUGAAUUCUCUUAAGUUCAUAAAGAUCCAACUUUCACAAGAUAUGCCAGAAUCUCGCCUGAGCCCCUCGGGUGCUAAGUCAAACAUACAUACAAGUCCAAAAUCAUCAUACGGACCUAUCGGAACUUUCCUAGCCCCAAUAGCAGCUUGUUAAGCCAACAUGUUGACUUGGUCAACUCUCUUAACUUAAAGCCUUUAGUUGGGAACUAAGUGUUCCAAAUCACUCCCAAACCUCUCGGGACCUGAACCACUUGUACCUGCAAGUCAUAAAACACCAAAUGAACCUACAUAAGUCUCACAUAGAGGAAUAAGAUCUUAUAACUCAAAAUGGCUGAUUGGGUCAUUAUAGUCUUAUCGAGUACUAGCUACUCAACCAACAACCACCAAAAAUUUCAUAUCAAUCUUCAAAUGGCAUGGUUUAUGCACCAUACAAGAAAUUGCCCAAUUAUGUCAAAUUUUUAGAAAAGCAUCUGACCACUCUAGUGACUCCCCAAAUCCAUGGUCUUCCUUCAAACAAGUUUUUAAGCAUCUGUAUAUCUUGCUCCAACUGUUCAUGUAGCGGAUAAGCAAACCCACUGAAGAAAGUUCGUGUACCCAAAAGCACUCCGCACAUUGAUGUGCCAUGAAAUUACGGUUUGAUAUCAUUUACAUAAACAUGUACUAUUGUUUAAGACUAUUUGUGUUGUUUCUUAUGUUUAUUAUCGUGUUGUAGGGAUUUUGAGGCUAAAUGGUAAAUACAAGCAAAAAGUCACGAAGUGUCCUAGAUUCGAUAACACACGAAUCAUAUCUUAAAGAUACCGACUGCAAGUGAAAUGCAUAUGGAAGCUUAGAAGAAGGCAACUGAAGGACUAACAUACAAAACAACAUGCACACUGCAUUUUUCACAUGCGCGGUCGUACAUCCAUCAUCUAUUGAGAGCCCAAUAGUCUUGAAUGCUUGUGAACAUCAAACUCAACACAUGCUGGGAUGAUGUAUUUUAUGCAUGCAUGUUUAAAUAGACAAAUUGGUAGAUCUCCUCGGUAGGUGUUGUUAGAGUUCAGGUUGAUCGGUAAGCUCCACGUCAUUCAGAGUUGUCGGGUCUAUGAUUUUGAGUACAUAUUUUGUAUAUAUAUAUAUAUAUAUAUAUAUAUAUAUAUAUAUAUAUAUAUAUAUAUAUAUAUAUAUAUAUAUAUAUAAAGAGACAGAGAGAGAGAGAGAGAUAAUAUGUAUAGGUCCUAUUUCGACCAUAGUACAACCAUCAGUAGAAUAUGUAUAGGUCCUAUUUCGACCAUAGUACAACCNNNNNNNNNNNNNNNNNNNNNNNNNNNNNNNNNNNNNNNNNNNNNNNNNNNNNNNNNNNNNNNNNNNNNNNNNNNNNNNNNNNNNNNNNNNNNNNNNNNNNNNNNNNNNNNNNNNNNNNNNNNNNNNNNNNNNNNNNNNNNNNNNNNNNNNNNNNNNNNNNNNNNNNNNNNNNNNNNNNNNNNNNNNNNNNNNNNNNNNNNNNNNNNNNNNNNNNNNNNNNNNNNNNNNNNNNNNNNNNNNNNNNNNNNNNNNNNNNNNNNNNNNNNNNNNNNNNNNNNNNNNNNNNNNNNNNNNNNNNNNNNNNNNNNNNNNNNNNNNNNNNNNNNNNNNNNNNNNNNNNNNNNNNNNNNNNNNNNNNNNNNNNNNNNNNNNNNNNNNNNNNNNNNNNNNNNNNNNNNNNNNNNNNNNNNNNNNNNNNNNNNNNNNNNNNNNNNNNNNNNNNNNNNNNNNNNNNNNNNNNNNNNNNNNNNNNNNNNNNNNNNNNNNNNNNNNNNNNNNNNNNNNNNNNNNNNNNNNNNNNNNNNNNNNNNNNNNNNNNNNNNNNNNNNNNNNNNNNNNNNNNNNNNNNNNNNNNNNNNNNNNNNNNNNNNNNNNNNNNNNNNNNNNNNNNNNNNNNNNNNNNNNNNNNNNNNNNNNNNNNNNNNNNNNNNNNNNNNNNNNNNNNNNNNNNNNNNNNNNNNNNNNNNNNNNNNNNNNNNNNNNNNNNNNNNNNNNNNNNNNNNNNNNNNNNNNNNNNNNNNNNNNNNNNNNNNNNNNNNNNNNNNNNNNNNNNNNNNNNNNNNNNNNNNNNNNNNNNNNNNNNNNNNNNNNNNNNNNNNNNNNNNNNNNNNNNNNNNNNNNNNNNNNNNNNNNNNNNNNNNNNNNNNNNNNNNNNNNNNNNNNNNNNNNNNNNNNNNNNNNNNNNNNNNNNNNNNNNNNNNNNNNNNNNNNNNNNNNNNNNNNNNNNNNNNNNNNNNNNNNNNNNNNNNNNNNNNNNNNNNNNNNNNNNNNNNNGAUGGAAAAGACAAGGGGAAACAUGCCUUGAGACAACAAAAGAGUAUAAGACAUAAAGUUAUAUCCUCAUUUCGAGAAAUGAAUUGGUGACUCCAACGUGAUUAGCAGAAGGCUAAGUUAGACCCCCAUGAGUAAUAGAAAUUAGUAUGGGCUAGUAAAGAUAAAACCGAACAUGAAUUAGGGAUCAGAGGAUUUGAUAAUAGUCGACAUCGUGAUAAUUUUAGAGAUCAUGUUCCGGUAAUAAUAGAAUGGACAACAGAAGAAUAACAUUUAAAGGUCAUACAGGAAAACGCUUCCCUAAAGCAAGCACUAUGAGCGAAGUUAAGCUUAAGGGACUAAGUGUGCCAGUUACACUAGGUGUCACCCUCGUGCAUAUGAAAUUCAGUUAUCCCUAGUACAGAAGGGUUAUCGGAAGACGAGUAAGGGUCAUUGAAGAUGUGAAAAGACGCCAAAGAUGAAGAGGUAAAACAUCUAUAGGUAAAUAUUCAUAGCAUUAAUAUUAGUACUCUCCUAAUAGGGGAAGAUGGUGUAAUAUGCUAUUAAGUCGGAUUUAAGUGGUUCAAGUAACUAUAGAAUAGUAAUGGAAGAAUGCGGUAAAAAGAAAAAAAGGAUGAGAUUUUAUUUUUUCAGAUCCUACAGAUAUGUUACGACUCAAAAACAUUAUGCAAGCAUGAUGCUGGGGAGAGACAGUAAGGGUUCCCAGCCAAGAUUUUAUGGAUAAAUAAGUGCGAAUGGACACUUGAUACAUAAGAAGCCAGUGCAAGAGGUAAGUUAAGACAAAGUACAUAACCUAAAAGAGAUUACGCGGAAUAUAGAUUUGAGAAUAGACCAAGGAGUAGUUAGUAGUUGAUUCAGGAAGAGCCUACUUAUGGCUAGAAUAGAGGUCACAGAUAAAUUAGCAGAUCGUGCAAGAUAAACGUAGUGAACCCUGGCAUAGGGAAUUCAGUCUCGCAGAUACGGGAUCGUAGAGCAAUAUUCAUAGAGGAGUUGGGGAAGAUAAAGGUACCGUAUAAGUGUUACGAAAAUAAAAGAGAGUGCCACUGGGGUGACAAUUGAAAUUUCAGUUCAGAAGUAACCCUACGAGCACAAGGACACAGAUGUAAGUAACUAAGGAUAAAUAUAGGCGAGUAAGAACAUCAAAAAUUCCAUCGAGUAUACCAUGUAAUAAGUUCGCAACGUUACAAGAGUUAGAGGGUCUCCCCUAAGUACUACAAUAAAAGACUAGCAGAGGAAAUAAGAGAGAAGGCUUCAACCUAAGAAUAGUAACCUAAAGAUGAAAUUAUCUUGUAGCAACAGUCUCACUACAACAUUGUAUAUACUCCAUAAGAAAGUGGCACCUAUUAUGACUAGUAAAUGGGAAGUAAAAUCAAAACUAAUAUUCAAGAUCAUAUGAGUUGCACGAAAUUCCAACAUGCACGAGCACUAAGAUAAGCCACGUAUCCAUGCAACAAGUGGCAAAAUGAUCAGGAAAAGUAAUUGCUUACGUUUAAAGACAACUGAGAAGAAACGAAAGGAAUUAUUCAAUCUAUGAUCCGGAGGUAUUUAUGUUAUGACCACACUUAAGAUUUUAGAGUAUUAUCCAUGCAGCUUAUACGUUGACAUUAUUACAUUUAUAGGAGACUCCGGUAUAAGUUAAAAGAAAGAAUUGAGUCCACGUCACAGACAGAGUCUUGAAUUGUUAGAAGAUUAUAAUAUGGAUGUUCUAUAUCAUCCACGAAAGGCUAAAGUAAUAACUAAUACCCUGAGACGCGGAUCAGAAGACAACUCUAGACUACUUAAAGGUCGAGAGAGUAGAGGAAGCUCGAGAGUUACAAUAGCUAAGUAAAUUAGGAGUCCAAUUAUCAGACCUAGAUAACUAUAGAAAUCGUGACUUAAAACAUUGUAGAAUCACUCUUAAUAGUAGAGGCACAAGAGAGAUAGUAUGACGGCCAUAUUAUAUAACAGUUCUACGAUAAAGCCAGUUAAAAGAGUACUAGCCUUAAAGAUAAUAAAAUAUGGAGUGGAGAUGACAGGAUAAAUAAUGCCCCCACUAUUGUAGGACUCCGAGAUAUUACCAGGGUAAGGGAGCAUCAUUUUUACCAUUCAAGUAAAGAACACAAACGAUAGUAGCAUUGUAAUCUAGAAUACUAUAGAAAUGAGAAGAAAUGGUCUGAGACGAGUGACAUCACGUGGUCGGUACUUCAAAAAUGAUCAUGGCCUAUAAAGUAUAACAUGGAUGAAUGAAUCUCUAGAUCGACCGUUCAGUUCAAUAGUGUUUGUUAGGACAAGCCAUGCAAAAAAAAGAAAUGUUCUAGCUUUUAUAGAAGUACCAUAAUUUUACAGACCAAGAAUGUGAAUGAGUUAAGAUAACAAGUCAAGUAUAAACUUUUAUGAGACUAGGAUACGCUAGGAGACUAGAAUACGAGGUUGAGAAGUUGAAGACGAUCAUAAGUCACUCACCCCUCAAGUGGGGCAGAAAUAUGUGUAUAUCUCUUUACAAGGUUUGAUAGAAGGUUUGAAUAGCAAUGUUACAAGUACCAAGCUGAUAACUAAGUUUAUGAAAAGUAAAGAGAGAACUAUGAGAGCCAAGGUGAUGAUUGUAUUUGGUUCUAAGAGCAUUAGAAUAAAAAGUAUAUGAUGGCCAAGGUCGUAGAAUAAGAAUUCCUAAAAUAUGAACAUAUGAAAAGCCAUAGACAACUGGGUAUUCCUAAAUAUGUUGCCUACAAAAUACGUCACGAGAUCUGGUAAGAAGGGCAAGAAUAAUCAUAGAUAUAUGGGGCCUUACAGAGUCAUUCGACGGAUAGACAAAGUAGCUUAUGAGCUUAAUUUCCUCCAGAGUUAGAGUCGGUCCAUUAUCCAUGCUACAAAACUGCAUUGGAGACCCUUCUCUAGUUUUCCCAGUAGAUGACGUUCAGAUUAGAGGAUCUAUCCAACGAGGAGAUUCCAGUGGCUAUCUUAGAUCGACAGAUCUUUAGGUUAAGGACAAAAAGGUACCCUCCGUGAAGGUUUUAUGGAGAAGAAAGAAUGUGGAAGAGAUGAUGUGAAUAGAAGGAAGAAAUAAAGUCUAAUUAACCCCACCUAUUUCAAACAAAAGAUAUGGCUCGAAAUGAGAUAUUCAAACCAUUACAUCAUGAGGUGAGCUCUUAUUUUGACGUAGAAUACUUAUGAUUGAUGACCAUGUGAGGUCAAGUAUUGCUAUUUAUAGACAUUGGCCCUAUGUUGCAUGUAUUGUAUGUUUUUUGUGUAACAAACCGAAAUAUAUUUAUAUACUAAUUAAUCUUGAGAUUUAGAGAAUUAAUUUUAUUUAUAAUUAUUAAGUCAAAUACUAAGAUAGUCGAAUAAAUUUAUUAGAAUAUAUAAGAUUGUGUACUAAAUAAUUACUAACGGGCCACAUUUUAUACUAUAUGUAAUUGUUGGUAAAUUAUUAACUUGAUUGGGGUGUUUAAAGAAAAGGAAUGGGCCAGGCUUAUUCUCCUUUACUGCGAGGUUGCAAGUCACGUGUGGGGAGUAAAUAAGUGAAGCUAAUUUCUUAAUUAUAACUUCUAAGAUAGAAACAAAACCUAGAAUAGCAUGUAGGUGUUAGCAUUGUGAUGAAAGAGACGACUAUCGGGUCUGAUAAAGCUAUUGACUAUGUGAAAUUUUGGAGAAGCAAUCCAAGUAAUCGGAUUAAGGCGAUUGGAGGCUGUUUGGUUGGUAUUUUGGACGUUGCAAGGUUGAGGAACUUCCUGUUAGCGAGGUAAGUGAGACUUUAAGCUUUGAUACUUGCUUUUCUAAAAACAGGUUUGAAAAAUAUAUUUUCUCUGCCUAGUCCAUGUGCUGGGACAAACGUGCGCUUUACAUAAUCGGUGGUCUUAUACUAGCCACAAAUAUAUCAUUUUAUGAAAAAUACAAAAAAAAAA
rnacentral:lncRNA from 1 species